CGUAUUGGGCCUCGUGAGUCCAAUUAAAGGAUGUUUUGAAUGAUGUCGGUUAAUGAAUAGUAAUUUACAUAAAUUAUUUGUAAGAUAUUCUGAAAGUUUCGGUAAUGCUUUGAAACCCUGUUUCGACGAUGAUGCGGGUUAGGGGUGUUACAUUAAUAAAUCAGUUAAUGAGGUGUUGUCCUUAUAUCAUCUCCUCGAUGUGGAUAUGACGACAUUGUAUGCCAUAGGUUCCUACACCACCCGCAUAACCUCGAUUGGUUUGUCUUCUCCAAAAUAUUCAUUUUGUUGCGUAUCUGAGUUGAUGUCGAUCAACCUUUUGGUUUACAACGCAAUGAUCUAUCGGGUAACAACUUGAAUGGAGUGCUCGAUACCGGUGACCACAUAUGUUCAUCUAGGACCGGCAGGAAUUCGUUUCUUCACACGUUAUACAAGUACUCUAGUUUGUACACUUCGUCUACAAAGCUUAUGUGAUCCAAACGUUGAUUGUCACAUGCUGCAAUUACAUGAGUGCAUGGAAAACUAAGUGCGUCAAAUCUCCCAUCGUCACAAGUUCAUUUUCUUAGGUGUACACGGUACGCAUACUUUGAUCUGGUUUAUCGAACACCGUAACCCGAAAUACUAGGUUUUCAUGCGAGUGAAACAUUAGAUGCGUACAGUCCGCUCGUGUUGUAGCUUUGUUAAUUUCUUUCAGUACUUCCUCACUCCAAACGUGGCUGCCCCUCGUCAAUCCAACAUAUUUUUCCAUUCACUUUGGAAAAUGUUCAGCCAAACAGAAAUAUGUUUCUUUGACAACCGAGUUUAUCUGCAAAUGAAACGUUCCCUUUAAUACGGAAUUGAUGCAUUCCACAAGGUUUGUCAUCAUGUGCCCAUAUCGUAGACCCCUGUCAUACGAUUGUGUCCACUAAUUGAAGGGUAUGUUAGAGAGGUAUCCCUCCCCGGCAUUGUUAAUUGCCCGUAAGUUUUCCAACAUUUCAUGGAAACAGUGUUUGACGAGCUUGUACACUGUGGAGAAAAGUGAAUAGUUUAUCCAUAAUACCAAAUAUAUGCUGAUCGGUUAAAUAUCAAACAAUUGAAAUAGUGGUAAAUACAUACCCGUGUUGAUCACUUGUACGCGUUAAGCUUUAGAAUUGUGUUGUUCGUGGUAGUUCGUCGCAACAUGUCUUAGACAAUACCUAUGGUGUGUGUGGUCUCAAAGGCUUCCUUGCCGUUCAAUUGCAGCCACUAUUCCAAGUCCCCUAUCGGAAAUGACGCAUAUAUCGAGUUGGAGGCAAACAUGCCUCCUCAACCUAGAAAGGAAGAAAUCUCAAUAGCUUGCUGACACUCUUGACGUUAUUGCAAAAGUAAUCGGAAGGAUGCAUUUUUAGUGCACUGCCAGAAAAAAACACUUUUAGAACGUUCGAGCUUUAGUGCUUUUUUUUAUAGUGCACUAAAAAUGCAUCUUACGUAGAGCAUUUUUCUUCUAGCACUUUCAACUCAACAUUUUUUCCCACUUACCCAUCAGAUAUCCUGAGAUUUUCAAGAUAUAUUUUCUAAAGUUAUCUGAAAGUUGGAAAUUAAUACAUUGAAAAAUCUAAUCGACCUCAACCUCCCGUGAAAAAAAUGAUCAAAACUCAAUUGUAUUAAAAAAAUUUGAAAAUAAAUUACAAACUAAGAUUUAAUCAAAUCGAGUAGUUCAAGUUUUGAUUAUGAAUCGAAUUGAAUUUUACAAUUCGAAUAAUCCGAACAUACGAUAGGUAUAAAUACAAUGCUUCUAAAUAUCAAAUUAAAUAAUUAUUAACUUUACAUAUCAAAAAAUUAUAAAAAAAAUUAAAGAAUAUAUAAAAAUUUUAAAAAAAACUCAAAACCCUACACAAUCCUAAAUCCUAAAAUCCACAAAAUUCUAACCCUACUUUAAAAAAAUAAAACCUUAACCCUAAAAAGAUAAAAAAAAACUACUUCUAACUGAAAACAUUUUCUUGCACAUUAAUUGAAAAUACUUUUAACUAAAAGUGUUUUUGUUAUUUCGACCAAAUCUUGAUAUUAAAAAAAAAUCAACCUAAACUGACAAAUAUUUUAAAAAAAAAGGGAUUUAAAAAAAAUCAUUCAAAAAAAAAAAGGCCAAUAUAGUGGAAAAGACCUAAAUUAUAAAAAAAGACAUGGAAAGUACCCCAGAAAAAGUGGUGGCCACGAAGAGAACACGUGGAGCACAGAGGAAUCGUUUUUAACUGUGGCGAGUCUUAACGCGCCAUCUGGGUUACGUUUUUCCAUUUUUCAACAAGUAAUAAUCAUCAUCAGCACGGUUGAGCGCCACAUUUCAAAAAUCGCCACGUGGCUCGAUAAGACAGCGAGUGACCACACGAUUUCAAUUUCAUUAACAGCAGCAGCAAACCACCAACUGCUAAUAAAUGAAUAAAGUAAUUUACACGUUUUAUCAUCAAUAGUUUAAUUAAAUUUUCAUGAUUGAAUUUCAGCGAGUAAAAGUUUUGCAUAUUUUUAACGUUAAUCCAUAUUAGCUGCUCUAAUUAACAACAAUUCAAGCGUUAGAAUUUUACUUUUUAAUUUUAGACCACAUAUUUAACAAUUUAUGUGCCAAGAAAAUACUGAUUUUAAAAUAUAUUUAGAAAAAUAACAUUUUAUAUUUGAUAUUAAAAAAAUUAAGUUAAUUUUGAAGAGAAAUAAAAAAUGCAUUUUACAAAAUGCGCUUUCUGACUUUUUUUACAUAUUAGUUCUUUUGGUAAGAUGAUUUACUGUUAGUGAUAUUUUUCUAAAUAUAUUGUUAUUUUUUAUUUCAUAUUAUUUUAUUUUUUUUAUUUUUAAUUAAUAAAUAUAUUAUUUUUAAAUUUUUAUUUUUAAUUCAUCUUUUUAAUUAAUAACUCUUUUAUUUAUAGAAUCAAAUAAUUAUUGUCAAAUAUCAUUCUUUGUAAUAAAUAUUUUUUAUAUCUUUAAUAUUUAUUUUUCAAUCCAUAUAAUGAGUGUAGUAAAUUUUAGUAAAAUAUAUUUUUGUACGUGCAUUUGGGAUAUUUCACAUAUAAAGAUAAUGAUAUUUGAAAUAAUUAAUUGAAAUAUUUCACAUAUAAAAAUAUUUGAAAUAUCAUACCCACAAUGUAGAUGAAAAAUAAUGAUAUUUGAAAUAAUUAUUUGAUUUUAUAAUAUUAGAAAUUACCUUACUCAUAAUAUAAGUGGAGAAAAUAAAUAUUAUAUAUAAAGAAAAUUACAUCUAAAAAGUUAGUUGAUGUUUUUAAAAAAUAAAAUAUAUUUAACAUAAUGAUAAAUAUCAAUUUUAUCAAAAAUAUUUUUUGUUAUAUAAUUAUCAAUAAUUAUUUGAUUUUAUAAAUAAAAUAUUUAUUAAUUAAAAAUAUGAAGUAAAAAUUUUAAAAAAAACUUGAAAAUAAUAUAUUUAUUAAUUAAAAAAAUUUUGAAACAACAUGAAAGAAUAUGGAAAUUUAAGAUAAAAUCACUAUUAUUUAACAAUCUACAAGAGGAGUUAAUAUGUUAAAAAUAGGAAUUAAAAUUAAAAAUAAAGCUUGAUACGAUAUGAAAUAAAAAUAGAAGAGGAAUCAAACUCGAGACUCAAGAAUAAAACUACUAACAUUUAACUAUCUGACUAAAAGAACUGAUGUAUAUUGUAGGAUGCGUUUUCUGUUUCUCCCAAAAGUCAAACUAUUUCUCUAAAUAUUUUUUAAAAUCAACAUUUUUUUUCAAUUUUCACCCUAUUUAUGUUUUUUUUUUUGGUAUUAUACACAAAUUGUAAAAUUUACUUAUUUAGAAAAUUAUUUUAAUUUUGAAAGGAAGAAAAUAAGGUUUUAAAAGAUAAAAUAUAUUAAUGUUUGAAGUGAUAAAUAUUUACCUUUUAAAAGCUAAAAAAUUAAAUUAUUUAAUGGUUGGAAUUUAUUAUCCCUUAAUGUUAACUCCAUUAAUAGGAUAAGCAUGAAAAAUAAAAUAAUUAGGAAACACAAAAACUGCGUAUAUGUAUCUAUUACCAAAUAUAUAAUAGAAUUAUUACGUAUCAAAAUUGUCCGCUGUCGUCUCUCACUAUCUCAACAAUUAUCCUCUUUCUUUUCACUUUUUCCUUCUCACUCGCAGCAAGCAAAUAAGAAAAACAAAAUUUCUUCAAAAACCCGAAGUUUCCUCUCAGAACAGAAAAAUGAAAGCGAAAGCUUUGGGUUUUUUAAUGCAUGAUCUGUUUUCAUUGAUUAAUCAAAAAUAUAUAUUUGUUUCUAUUUCUGGGUUUUAAGGGAAAUUCUACCAUUGUUGCCAACUCAAUUGACUUUUAAUAUCGUCAAGAGUGAAAGGGUCAGAGAAUUAUAAUCCUUGCUUUGUAUUGUUCAUUGUUGGGAAUAAGCUGAAAACCUAACUGGAAAUUAGAAUUUGAGUGUUUGUUUGUUAGUUGGAGAGAUGACGCUAGAGUCUUUACCCGGGAGUUCAGGGUAUCUGGAUUUGUUUCCAGAGAGACGAAUGUCAUAUUUCAGUAAUCCUUAUGUUUUAGGACUUACUGUAAUUGCUGGAAUUGGUGGCUUGCUCUUUGGCUAUGACACAGGUAUUAAAUCCCUUUCAACCCUUAUUUCUAACCUUUUGUCUUUUUUUGCUCAUCAUGAGAUUUAUUGUUUAGUCUGGUUCAUCUGAUGACAAAGAUUUGUAUAUUUCUAUAGAUGAAACCAAGUUUUGUUUGAAUGUCUGGUUCAUCUAAUGACAAAGAUUUUUAUGUUUCAAUUGAUUAAACUAAGUUUUGUUUGAUUGUCUGGAUUGUAGCAGCAGAAUUGAACUGAUCUUAGACAUUGAAGGUUUUGUGAACCAGGAGAAGAAAAAAGACUGAGUAAACACAUUUUUGGUCUUAAAUCUGGUGUCAAAGAAAGAAACACUCUUAGUCUAACAUGAUUACAUGAUUGAUUUUCUUUUAAUUCCUCAAUUCAAUUGAGCUUUUGUAACUUAAAAAACCCUUAAAACUGUUAAUCUAGCUCAUUGCUUCUGCAUUAUGUUAUCUGGACUUCUUUAAGCAGUAUCAGAUAUUCAACUGAACAAAACAGGAACACAUGAUUCUCUUCAUUCCUUCUUCUGUUUAAUUUCUCUGGGAACAUGUUCUCAUUUGGAAAUGAUAAUGAUUGCAGGUGUAAUAUCAGGGGCCCUUCUUUACAUAAAAGAUGACUUUGAGAUCGUCAGGCAGAGUAGUUUCCUGCAGGUAUUAUGAACUUGUAAAGGUGUUCUGAAAUACUAAACUUACUUCAGUCAUAAAAGAGCAUGAAAAAGAAAGAAACCAAAGAAAUUUUUAUUUUUUCCUUUUUGUGUAUGAUUGACUGAGUAGGGAAGGAAGAAAUGGUGUUAAUGAUGAGGACUUUGUUAGCAGAUCCCCACAGGCAACUUCUUGUUGGAUCUUGCGUGUUGUGAUAAGGCAACUCUUCAUUUUUUUCCCGAAGCACUUGUGUUCGGCACAUGCUCGGACAUGGUAUGGGGAUAGGAUCCUCUGAGUACAUGGAACUCUUGGAAAAAAACUGCCCAUACCCAUAUCCAAAACUUAUCCUCGAGUCUGAGUAAAAUAGCUUGUGUGUGCUUGCAGCUGCUAGCUUUCAGUUGACUGGAUAGGCAAUUCUAAUCCUGUAAAAAAAGAGCCAAAUCUUGUGUUUGCAAAAGGUGCACAAGGGGAGCAAUUAGGGGAUUGGGAGGGGCCCCAUGUCCCCUAAACAUGAUAGCUUGUGUGUACAUGCAGUUGCUAGGUUUUAGUUGAUUGGGAUAGGCGAUUCUAAUCCCUCUUAAAAGAAAAGGAAAAUUUGGUGUUUGCAAAAGGUGCAGAAGGGGAGCAAUUGGGUGAUUUGGAGGGCUUAUAUUUCUACUGGCCUUUAAACUCGGUAUCUUGUAUAACUCCUAAUGUUAGUUAACAUGCUGUUGUUAAUUUCCUAAUCUUUCCAUGUUUGGAAACAUCCUGAUUCUUUUAGUUGGCAGGAAACUAUUGUCAGCAUGGCCUUGGUUGGUGCAAUGAUUGGAGCUGCAUCCGGGGGUUGGAUUAACGAUGCUUAUGGACGUAAGAAGGCUACUCUUCUUGCAGAUGUUGUCUUUACUGCUGGAGCAAUUGUCAUGGCCGCUGCACCCGAUCCAUAUGUGCUGAUAUUGGGACGCCUUUUAGUUGGCCUAGGUGUGGGUACUGCCUCUGUGACCGCUCCCGUAUAUAUUGCUGAAGCAUCACCUUCGGAAGUAAGGGGUGGGCUAGUUAGCACAAAUGUGCUUAUGAUAACUGGUGGACAGUUUCUUUCCUACCUUGUAAAUCUUGCUUUUACACAGGUCAGCUUGUCUUCCUACUUCAUUUAGUUUCAUCUGCUUGAGCCAAUAUACACACACACAUUAUGUGAUGACAAUUAUGAUAUCUGUAAAAUAUUAUUAUAUUUUGCAUUUAUGAAAAAAUUGCUAUUUUAAGAAAAGUAGGAUUUCCCCAUUUUCCUUUAAAAAAAUGUUUUUCUAUCAGAACUGAAAAUAAAUUCUCCAAUUAUCUUGCUCAAAUACAUUUGUUUGCUUUAGAAGUUUAAUAUUUACAAGGCUGGUGGCGAAUGAAGCUAAUAAAUGGUUGGCUUAACAAGCUUUAGCUGGCAUCUGUAGAUGUUGAACUUACUAGGAUGGUUCAAAUGGUAUAGAGUGUUGAAUGUGCUUGUUAAAUUACUGGUUAAUAAAUCAAUGAUGAUAACUUUUUCAUAAUUUUAGAAUCUCUUUUUGUGGUUGUUAACGAGUUGAACAAAUACUUGAUUAGGUAGCCCUCAAAUUGUGUUCUAAGUAAUACCAGUUCUCUGAGGUAAUUGUUGUUUAUAUUCUUGGAAAAAUAGAGUAAUAUUGUUCUAUUUAUGCACGUUCAUUAUUCUGCCAGAGUGAAAGGGUUUUCAGUUUUGCAGUUUUGGAGACACCGUAUCCCAGAUAUUAAUACAGGGUUUGCAUUUUAUUGGUCUUGAACGGAAACAUCACUGAUGGAACUCACUCGUUCUUUCCUGCUAGUUGGGUUAUGCAUGCGCAACCAUUUUUUUCAGCAUGCUGAAUUUUACCUUGUAAACUAAAUUUUUCCAUGGCACGUGAUUCUUAACUACGAUGCAAUGUAGAUUAAAUGUGUUCCAUGUUCCCCUAAAAUGUGUGAUAAUGAAACGAAAACCAGAACUUAGACAGUGUGUUUAGAAGCUUUGUUACCUUCUUUCUGAAGCCAUUUUUUUGGGCUAAUUGUCCACUCAGAGCUAAGACCUUCUAGUUUGAUCUCAAAAUAUAGAUCCAAUUUCGAGGCUAUGGGGACUAAGCUUAUUGCAUUUUCUGCUAGUAGAGACCCGUGGUUUUGUAAAACAAAUCAAAGCAUCUUAAGAGAAAUAAACAUUUGAUUCUGUUAGCAUAACUAGUUGAAAUCAUAUCCGUUUAAAUCUGGAUAUACGAGUUUUGAGGUCUUAAUGUUCUUAGAGAUGAGAGAAGCAUAUGAAUGUGUGAAGGAUCGGUCCAAAUGUUACCGGGCAUUUAUGCAUCAUAGGACUUCAUGCAUUCCAAAAUGUUUUCAAGUACCACUACUUGCUGUCUAAAACAUUGUUGCUCGAACAGGUUCGAGGAACAUGGAGAUGGAUGCUUGGAGUUUCAGCUGUGCCAGCUGUCAUUCAGUUUUUCCUUAUGCUAUGUUUGCCCGAGUCUCCACGAUGGCUUUUCAUGAAGGUACUUGUAGUACUUCGGGGGAAUAUCUUUGUUGAUUCUGUAUAAUCCUUUAAUGAACCAUCUCAUCAUAUUGUACAGAAUGAGAAAGAUAAAGCCAUAGCUGUGCUUUCUAAAAUUUAUGACAUUGCUCGGUUAGAAGAUGAAGUGGAUCACCUUUCUGCUGCACUAGAAGAAGAACAGCAGAGAAAGAAUACUGUCAGAUAUUUGGAUGUUUUUAGAACAAAAGAAAUUAGACUUGCUUUUCUGGCUGGGGCAGGACUGCAGGUAAGAAAACUAUCAUUGACAUUCUUUUAGAUUGUGUUGCCUAUUGGAAUUAAGUUUUUCUUCUAUAUUUUGUUCUAGAAAAUCAACUGGUAAAUCUUGUCAUUGCUUGAAACACCACUUUGUCUAAUUCCAAGUGCGCUUAACAUGACUCAUGGCCCUUUAUGUCUUGUAUUUGUAGGCUUUUCAGCAGUUCACUGGCAUCAAUACAGUUAUGUACUAUAGUCCAACAAUCGUCCAGAUGGCUGGCUUCAAUUCCAAUCAGCUAGCACUUCUGCUGUCUCUCAUUGUCGCUGCCAUGAAUGCAGGAGGAACUGUUGUCGGCAUUUACCUUAUCGAUCAUUUCGGAAGGAAAAAGCUGGCUCUUUCAAGCUUAUCUGGUGUCAUCGUGUCCCUUGUCAUCCUUGCUGGGGCCUUUUUUGCUGAAACACCUGGUUCUUCUAAUGGAAUUUAUGGAUGGCUGGCAGUCAUUGGAUUAGCCCUCUACAUUGCAUUCUUCGCACCUGGAAUGGGGCCUGUUCCAUGGACUGUGAACUCAGAGAUAUACCCUGAGCAAUACCGAGGGAUCUGUGGGGGCAUGUCGGCUACUGUGAAUUGGAUUUCAAAUUUGAUUGUGGCCCAGACUUUUCUUACAAUUGCUGAAGCAGUGGGAACUGGUGUUACUUUCUUGAUUCUCGCUGGCAUAGCUUUGCUUGCAGUGGUUUUUGUGAUUGUGUAUGUGCCGGAGACCAAGGGGUUGACAUUCGUUGAAGUGGAACGAAUUUGGAAAGAAAGGGCUUGGGGAAGCAGUUAUAACACUGAAAGCCUUCUCGAGCAUGGAAACGAGUCCGCCUAGUCACUAUCGAAAUCAACCCGGCAUGCUUUUCUACAAAGUCGAUAUCCUGUCCUGGAGGCAGUUGAAGGUGUGAGCUUCAUCUUUCUACACAUAAAUGUCGAAAGGUGAGGCAUCUUAAAACAUUUAGAUUGUUUACUGCAUUUUGGUCUUGCAUAUUUCAAAGUUGAGAAGGAACUUGGUGGUGAUGAUAGAUAACCUUGUAUAUAUAAGUUGUAUUAUCGCCAACGGCACGGGACAUCUUUUAAGUAGGCCCGAAGUUGAGGCAUGAUCCUUGUAUAUGUUCUUUAGCUCAUGUUUUCAAAGCCUUGUUGGAAGCAAAAACGGCAGCAUUGGAAUCAUGAUGGAUUGUUUUUAUUGUAGUGGACACCCCGAAACAGCAUCUAAUUGGCCUUUUAAAAAAGAAGAAAAACACAGCCCUUUUAGAAUGCAUGAAACCAAAGAGUGGAUAAUUAGGGUUAAGAUUGACCCCCCUUUUUUUUUUUAUCUUAUUUCAAUUUUAUUUUAUUUUAAUUUAUAAAUAGGAGUAUAAUUUGUCUUUAUUCUGUAUUAGUAAUAAUAUCAAUUCUAAUUAAACUAAGAUUUAAUAUUUAAAUAUGAAUUUAAAUUAUCGUUUAAAUAUCUAAGUUCAAUAAAUAUUAUAAAAAUAUUAUUUAAAAUAAAGUAAAAUAGAUAAUAGAUUUAGUUGUCCAAAUUUGAAUACGUAUACAUAAAUUCAUUAUCUAAAAGUAAAGCAAAGCAUAUUUAUAUAAUGGAUAGUUGAGUGUUAAUAAUCGCAUUUAUUUUGAAUUUGUUACGAAUAAUAAUUUGAAUAUUAUAAAUUUAAAUAUUAUUUAAAUUUAUAAUAUUCAAAUUAAAAAAAUAGGCAGUCAAAAUAUUCGAAAUCACGCUACAUAUCGUCAUUCCUAAAUUAUAUAUAUAUAUAUUUCACUUAUUAUCUUUUUAUUGUUGGAUUUUUAAACAUAAACAAUAUAUUUUUUAUAGUUAAUAUUUGGUACAAAUAUCAUAAUUUGAUAAUUAUAGUUCAAAUACCUAAGUCUUGAAUUUUUAUUUCACUAUUUCAUAAAUAGAAUUGUUAUACAUUAGUGACCAUCAGCCCGAAUCCAAGAUAGGAUCUGAGUUGCCUACCCUUUAUCCGAAUAGGUCCCGCCAAAUAAUUGAGUAUAAGGCAAACCGUGAGAGGACAACGAGGGGAGUUCGCUGAUCAAGCUCACAAAGAGAGCUCACACGAACCAAAAGAAAGUUGUGGUCUUAGUUCGCAUAUACCCAAGGAUAUUGCAAAAGGGAGACCACAUGAUCUGGCAGGCAAUCCAGAGUGAAACGCCUAUUUAGCACGCCUGAGUUCCGCUCAGGACGUCAGUCCUAGGAAUAGUCGGGUCAAGUCAUGAACAAUAAGGUCAUGUCAUUAAUAGUAAUAGUAUGUAUAAACACUCGAAUGUUCUCAUUAAUAAAAUACGAGAGAAAUUACUCAAAAAUUGGUACGGUGAGCGUGGAUGAACUUCCAAUCAUUAGAUUUUUUAGUUUGAUUUUCUUUUAUUCAGUUUCAGAAUAGAAAUGGUUCACCUAAAUGAGAUUUCCCCUUCAACCUUUCAUCAGGACAGGCUGGAGCAUUAUGUUCUAGCGGUCAGCAUAAUGAAGAAGAUUUGUUUGCUAGAUGGUUUACCGAUAGACAGUAGAACUUCAGCAAUGCAGUUUAUCAAGUAGUUUCUAGUCCUCUAGACCUGAAUGUUUCCGUCAAUCAGAGGUUGUCGUUUUCUCAUAGCCAAGAGGCACCCCCACAAUAGUUCUUUACUUUUCAAGAGCAAAUGAGGUUAAUGAGGGAACAGAUAGUCAUUCAAGAGGCACGAUUCGAGUAACAACAAGCUUUUCAAGAAAAGCUACUGAAGCAGAACGAGGAGUUAAAAAGGAAGAUGAAUUCUGACAAUUUUGGCUUUCAGGAUAACGUGAAUACGCAAGACGAGGUCCAAGGAAUGCAGGUGAAAGAGUGGUAGAAUGAGAUGGACGAGUUACAGAGGGAUGUAAGUGCAUUGUAUCCUGAAUCUCAAGACAUGGAUUAAUUGUUUUGUUCUAACAAUCCAUUGGCCUCUAAAAUUGUAACGGUGAACUUAUCGUAUGACUUCAAGGUCCCAAAAGAUAUGUUCGAAGGAAUGAGGGACCUGCGAGCCCAUUUGAUGCAACACAACGACUACAUGAAUGUGUUAGGGGCAUCAGAUGUAGUAAAAUGCAAGGCAUUUUUCAUGACGCUUAAGGAAAGUGCCAAGGACUGGUAUUUGUCCCUUCCUCAAGGUUCAGUUUGAAGUUUCUCGCAAAUGGGAUAGAUGUUUUUAGGAAGAUAUAGGGCUCAUAGAGCAAUCAUGAGUACACACCUAUGGGGCUGGUAUUGGUAAAGCAAGGAGAUGGUGAGUCCUUUCAAGAUUAUGUGAAGAACUUCCAUGUAGUUACCCUCAAUAUGAAGAAUUUAGAGAACUAGUGGGUUAUUGAUGCCUUUAUAAUGGGAGUACAAAAUAAUCAUGUCCAAUACUCCUUUACAAAUAAUAGACCGCAAAGUUUGACUUACUUGUUCAAGCCCACAAGUUCACAGAAGUGGAGGAAAUCAAAAGGGCAUCUCGUGGCACCUUUUAGAGGGAGGAUAGACAGUCCAGGAAUAGGGAAAGACCUCGUAGUAGACAGGACACUCUUGACCAAUAGUUGUGAGUAAGAAACGAUAGGCCAGAGAAGUCAAGCUCAAGGUAAUUUUCCUAGGGCCCUCAGGGAUCUCAACCAGAGCACACUAGGAGGUAUGUUCACCACAGAAGAUUUAAAGCUAAUACCCUAUUGAAUGCCACCCGUACCUACAUUCUCAGUCAAGUCAAAAGCCUUGGCAUCUUACCCAAGCAGCCCCCGAUAAGGAGCACUAUCAGAAGGUUGAAUUCAAAUAACAAAUGUGUCUUCCACGAUGACAUGGGACAUAAAACUGAAGAUUGUUUCACUCUGAAGAAUGUUAUAAAAGAGGCAGUGUGAAAUGGCGAGCUCGCAAAGUUUGUGAAUCAGUGUGGUUCUUAACAAGGUCAAGGUUUGUGCAGUGAUCCUAAGGGUAAAAAGAAAGUUAAAGGUACCAUCCAUAUGAUUUUGGGUACGGAUGAACAAUGGGUAGGUUCCAACGCAAAGAUGAAGGCACACAUGAUAAGUGUGAUGUUAGUUAGCACUCUCAAAAAGUCACAUCAGCAAGAAAGGUAGAAUGUUGAGUUUGGCAAUGAUUAUGAGGAAUUGGUCUGCAACGACAAAGGUAAUAAUCUGAUGGUUGUCUCAACGACAAUAGCAUGUUUUAAGGUUAAGAGGAUACUAGUGGAUAGUGGAAGUGCGGUUGAGGUGUUAUCUUGGGAUGUAUACCAGAAUAUGGGGUUGAAGGAACAGACAUUGUCAAGGGCUAGUCCAUUCUAUGGUUUUGCGAACCAUCCUGUUGAGGUGAAGUGCUCGAUCACUUUGCCAAUCACCUUGGGGAUGGCGAGCACACGACUACAGAGUAUGUACAAUUUUUCGUGAAAAACCACCCAAUGGGUACAAUACUAUCAUUGGACGACCAAUAAUGAAGAUGGCAAAAAUGAUGGUCACAACAUUUUGCAUAGAGAACAAGUUCUCGACGAGGACAGAGGUUAGGGUCUUGCGAUCUGAUCAGUGAAUCACGAGGCAGUGCUAUAUGUUAUCCAUUAAACAAGUGCGAGAGCUGAUAGCGGAGGGACAGAGCUUGUAGGGGGCAGAGUUGGCAAGUCAAGUUCUAGAUUUAAACAAUUUAGAUGUAAGAGACAAAGAUAGAGGUAAAAAAACUCAAAGUUGCAUAGCACAUCGAGACCUUGCAACUAUUCUGUGACGAGGAAGAAACUGUUAGAAUCUCAUCGGCAUUGGUGGCAAAAGAUUACAGCAUGUUAGUCCAGUGUUUGAGGAAGAAUUCAGAUAUUUUUGUCUGGUCAGCAGUAGAUAUUCCAAGAGUAGACCCCAAGUGAUUGUCCAUAAGUUGAAUGUGUUCCCAGAUCCAUAAGUUGAAUGUGUUCCCAGAUACAAAACUAAUAAAGCAGAAGAAGAGAAAAUUUGAGUUGUAGGUGGUGAAAGCAAUAAGUCAAGAAGUGGCUAAACUGUUGUCAAUGGGUUUCAUCAAUGAAGUAAAGUACCCAGAUAGGGUUUCAAAUAUGGUUAUAGUGAAAAAGGAAAACGAAAAAUGAAGAAUGUGCAUUGACUUCACUAACAUCAACAAAGCAUGCCCUAAAAAUAGUUUUCUUCUACCUUCGAUUGGCCAUUUAGUUUAUGCCUCUACAGGUCAGAGGUUCAUGACCUUCAUGGAUGCCUUCUCAGGCUACAAUCAGAUUCUGUUAAAACAAGGUGACCAGGAAAAAAUAGUUUUCAUCAUGGAAGAGGGGAUUUUCUACUAUCAGGUUAUGCUUUUUGGCCUUAAGAAUGCAGGGCCAACCUAUUAGAGAUUAGUGAAUAGAAUCGUCAGAAACCACAUAGGUCGUGGACUUGAGGUUUAUGUGGAUGACAUAUUGGUAAAAAGUGAAUCUAUGGGAGAUCCUGUGUAAAGCUUAUUUGAGAUAUUCGCAAUCUUAAAAGCUCACAACAUGAAGCUAAACCCUAAAAAGUGUGCCUUCGACGUGUGAGCUAGCAGAUUUUUAGGCUUCAUGAUUUUAGAAAGAGGGAUAGGAGUAAAUUUGGAAAAGAUUCACACGAUCAUGGAAAUAUCUCCCUCACGAACCAUAAAAGACAUUCAUCACCUCACAAGUACAGUGGUGGCACUCAAUAAGUUCAUUUCCAGAAUGGUAGACAAGUGUCUCCCAUUCUUCAAAGUUUUGAGAACCUCUUUUUCGUAGAUUGAAUAGUGCAAAGAAACUUUUGAAGAAUUGAAGUUGUAUCUUACUUCCCUUCUGCUCUUGAAAUCCCCUCAGGUGGAAGAAACCCUCUAUUUGUAUUUGGCUACCUUGGAGGAGACAGUAGCAGCAGUGUUAGUCAGAUUAAAAGGCGUUCACCAAUUCCCAGUGUAUUACACUAGCAAGGUACUCUAGAGCGGUAAGCUGAGGUACUUGAAAAUAAAGAAGUGUACUUUUUUCUUUGAUGGAAGCAGCUCGCAAGUUGUGGCCGUACUUCCAAGCUCAUCCAAUCGUUGUCAUAACUAAUCAGCCCACAAAGGAAGUGUUGUCCAAGGCAGACACCUCAAGAAAGGUAACAAAGUAGAAUAUUAAGUUAGCUGAAUUUGGGGUGGAAUUCACUUCGUAAAUAGUAGUAAAAGGGCAAGUGCUAGCUGAGUUUAUGGUAGUGUGUUCUUUUAAGGAGACUACUGACACAACAGUAGUUAACCCACCUGAUAUGCUCCCAAGUUCCUAGCAAGUUAGUAGUUUUGAUUAUACAGCACAUUAUUUUGCUCCUUCAUUUCCAAAAGCUACUCGCAAUCCCUUUUACAUAGGGCUGCAAGCUCCUUAUAGCGGGUCUCAACCCCACCAGCAUAUUUUUUAACACCCAGGUGAGGCUUUAUCCCACAAUAAUUGUAGAAAUAAUUCUCAAGCCCCUCUUUAAGAUCGGUCAAAAUUCAGCCCAAGUCAUUGUUAUUAUUACAAUAAACUCCAUGUGGCCAUGACCGAAUCUCGGCGACUACUCUAAGUGCUUCAGCGACCUCUUUAUUAUCAUCUAGCCUAUACCCAUUAGGGUUGCAACCCUCUAGGUAGUAAUGGAAUACGUUCCUCACAGUGAUGAGGUCUUCGAUGAUCAAAUGACUCACAAUACAAAGCAUUUCCCAUUGGGCUUUCAUGUAAUCUGUUCUUAUGGUCCGUUUAAACAAGCACGUAUCCUAGCUCAACAAAAACCACUUCGUAGGAAAACCAAACCCGUCUACGACCUUGCAUCUUACCUUAAUAUGUUUUUCCCAUUUUAACUGAAGAUUAGAGCAGCGGUUCACGAUAAUUGUUUCACAUUUUGGGUGAAGAGAAAAAUAAUAGAAACCUGACUAAUCUCCUCAAUUCUGAGCCUUCAGCAAAUACAAACUCUAAAAAACGGCGAGCUCUGGUACUUUAUUUCGACGAAGAUAGUCAAUAAAGUAUGAGAACGCGAUCCACCAGAAGAAUCUGCAAAAUUUCCUAGGAGCAAUCCCAUACUCACGCAGGAGGUGGCAAAAGAACGGAUAAAGAGGUAGGUGAAACCCAGCCUUCAAAACAUAAAGGGGGAGCAAGAAACCACUAUCGCUUACAUCGCUAAGGUUGUGCUCCCUUUCAGGAAUAGAGAACUCGUACGCGAAAUGAAGAAUUUCAAUCCCCCGUGCACGCAAACUCUGUUUCAUUUCUUCAUAUUUUAUAAUACAGAGGACAACCUUAGCCUCGAUGGAGGUCUUAGAAGCACGUUCCUGCAGUGGGCAAUGGGGGAGUAAUUGGCCACCGACUCCUCUCAUUCUUGGCAUAUUCGGUGAAGAAAAGAAAAGAAAAAUGCGGAGAAAAAUUUUUACCUUGAGAAAAAUCUUUGACUUGUUCUAACUUCAAAAAUGUUAAGUAUGAAUUUUAGGGUUUCAGAAGCCCCUCUUCUUAAAGAAAUUUUUCCCUGCGUAAUGACGGCUCGAAUAACCAAGAAGUCUCAACGGUCAGAUUCGUACAAGCACGAUCGACCUGUACACAUGGCGAAGCACACAUCAGAUCCCAAUAGUUGCUACGUAUUCCACAAGCUACAAUAAAUGUGAAAUGAUAGCCUUAAAGAGCGCUACUUUGUAACACUCCUUAUGCUCACUAUGAGAGGGACUAGAUUGUUAUACAUCAGUGAUCACUAGCCUGAAUCCUAGAUAGGAUCCGAGUCGCCUACCCGUGACCUGGAUAGGUCCCACCCGAUAAUUGAAUAUGAGGUGAACCGUGAGAGGACAGCGAGGGGAGCUCGCUGAUCCAGCUCGCAAUGAGAGCUCAUACGAACCAAGAGAAGCCAUGGUUUCGGUUCGCAUAUACCUAAGUAGCUCAUAGAAGGGGAGAUCACGUGGUAUGACAAGCAAUCUAGAGUGAAACACGUGUCCAGCAUGCCUGAGUUUCGCUUAGUACUUCAGUCCUAGAAAUAGUGAGGUCAAGUCAUGAAGAGUUGGGUCAGUCGUGAAUAGUAAUAGUAUAUAUAAAUACUUGAAUGUUCUCAUUAAUAAGAUACGAGAGAAAUUACUCAACAGGAAUAUACGUCACUUUCAAAACCCUAUUUAUAAAAUUUAAAAAUUCAACUGGCAGUAUACCAAAUAAUUUUACUAUCUUUUCAUAUUUAUAGUAUAAUAUAGUAUAUUUAAUUUUCAUAUGGUAAAAAUUACAUAAUAUAUAAAAUGAGCUGAGCUUCUCUUAAUUUGAAUGAAGCAGUGGUUAAAGCUCUUGUUAAACACUUGUUUGAUUCAAGUUUCAACUGUGCUACUCCCAUCCCCUAUCCCUAAUAUUGUAUAAAAAAAAAAAGAGCUAGCUUAGCUUUGAAUAUUAAAACCUGAACUUGACCUAUAGGCCUAGCUUUUUUACCUAAGCACAUUUUAUAGGCCAAAUGUUUUUUUAUAAAUCCUACUAAAUUUCGGACCAACGUUUGAACUUGAAUCCAACCCUUAAGUAGGUCUACAAUAGAGGUGUAUUGCUUUGUUAAGAUAUCCAUAUUAUCGAUUUCAAUGUAGUUUGUUGUAUCAACUCGAUUUUGUCAAAUUUCAAGUAAUUUAAAUAUAUAUAUCAUAAUCUAUUUUUUCUUUAUAUAUUAUAUAUACAUGCAAAAUAUACUUUAUCAUAUUUGUAUAAAUAUAUUUAUAUGUAAAUACAAAAUUAUAAAUAUUUAGUAUUUGAACUUUUUAACAAGUAAUAAAUAAAUAUAUUGUUGUUAUGAAUUAAAUAAUAAAAAAAUAAAAGAACAAGAAAUAAGAGAGUAAAAGAGUCAUAAUACUCCCAUUGGAUGUCUAUUAGUAGAUAAUGUACAUCAUUAAAAUCUUACAAAGAUAAAAAAUCUGUGAGGAAAAAAAUCUUAGUGAAGGAAAAAGAAUACACAUAUCUAUAAUAUAUAUAACAUGCUGACUUAUUAAAAAUCUUAUUAGGAAAAUACAAUUGGACAAAAUCUCGGUUAAGAGAAAAAGAGUACAACGUGUAUUUCAAUUUGUACGUUUCCAAUCUUGAACACUAACUUUUCAAAUGAUCACUUGAACAAUUUUGAUAGACUCUAAUAUCAUUAUUUUUUUUAAAGUUACAAGUGAGGCAGAAUUUGGGAGAAAUAUAUUUUUAGCUCUUCAGAAAUUUUAACAAUAAUUAUAGUAAACUUUAAUCAUGAUCCUUCUAUAAAAAAUAUAUAUAGGUAUUUUGGAUCAUUUUAUAAUCUUCCUUCAACUACUAUUCACUAAGUCAAAUAUACCAGAGAAUUUUUAUUAGCUUCUAUCAUUCUAAAUCUUUCAAGGAUUCUUAAUAUAAACUUCCAUUAAAUAGUAAUCAUAUAAAGCUCAUAACAACAACCAUUAAACAUGUGUUAAAUCUUUCAUUAAGUACCAGACUAAUGAGAUAUCUAAUAGUUUAUUGAAUCCACCACAAAAGAAUAUUAUAUCUUUUCAAUAUAGGGACUUAGCGAAAACCUUCAAUUUUUUCUUUCAUUUUCGCAAGAUUAGGCAUAUGUACCUUCACUGACUUUAUACCUUUAGAUGUUUAGGCUAAUGGUCUAAAAACUUUAUGAAUUUGAUUCUAUUUGAAUUGUCUUUUUUAUUUUGAUCAAUUUAUUCCAUAUUUGUAUUUCUUGACAUAUUCAAGAUCUUCAUUUUUUUUCAUUAUUUCAAUAAUACUAUUGGAUGCAAAAUCAUUAUCAGCAACUUUUUAUUCUCAUGGUUCCAUAUUUUCUCAUAUUGACACAACUUAUUGAGAUAUCUUUAUUUUCAUUAUUUUCAUAUUCAGGUACUUGAAUCUCUUCUGGAGUUUUAAUAAUUAGUUAUGUCUUAGAUCUCUUCAAGAGCACUCGCCUCCACUAUAUAACCAUCUUGAUUUAUUAUUUUCUUUUAUAAGAAUUUUUAUCUUUGGAACCGAUCGAUCUAUCACACUUCAAGCAUGCAUUACUUUCAUUUAUUCUAACAAACUGUCCUACUUGGCAGAGGUGAAGCCAGAACAAAUUUUUAGGGGGGGUGAAUGAAAAUUUAAUUUUUUAUAGUCUAUAUCUUUAUAAUUUUUAAAGGACUAAAUCGUAUUUUUAUAAUUUUAGAGGGGGCCAAAGUAUAAUUUUAUCUUUACUAAUUUAAAAUUUUAAAAAAAUUUCAAGGGCCUAAAUAUAAAUUUUCCAUUUUAGGGGGGCUAGGCCACUGCCAGCCCCCGCUUGUAUCUGCCUCUGCUACUGGGACUUUGAUUCAAAUACAUCUGCAAUUAACUUGCAAUAAAAUGAGUUAUCCUUUUUGAACUUCUGAUUUAUAUUACUUUUUAUGACGAUCCAUCUAAUUAUUAUUUCUCUCCCCUAAUGUUAGGAAAACUGCCAAAUCAAAAUUGUAAUCACUAAAUCAUGUCAUAAUUGAGUCUCAAUAAUACAAGGAGACUCAUAACUAAGGUAUAUUAUCAACUGUCUUUAAAUAUUCAUUUUGUGCAUUGUGGAGGAACAACUUAAACAUAUAUUGCACAUUCUAAAAUUCUAAAAUACAUUGUAUUUGACUCUGACCAAAAACCAACUAUAAUGGGGAGUAUUUAUUAAAACUUAUUGGCAUGAUGCGUAUAAAAUAUCAUAUCCUUAUACUUACAUAAACUUUUGUUCUAAAAGAAUAUAAUUUAGCUACUAACGGGAGGCAUUUAAUUAUUAAUUGUUUGUACAUAAAAAUAAAAUUUUAAAAUAAUUAGUCACAUUGACAAUCUAACUUACAAUGAUCAUUGAAAGUUCAAGUAAUAAAUUCACCAACAUUAACAAGAAUUGUCCUAAUUGCAUUGUCUAAAAAUUUUGUUCUUAAACAAAUCAUUAAGCAAUUAAUCUCGCAAACUAUAGCUUACAAUUUAAUAAUUCACAUGUGAUUAUCUUGUACAUGCAUCAGCUAAAAUUAUAUCAAAAUAUUAGAUCCAUAUUUCUUUCAAAAUACACAAAAUUCAAUCUCAAUUUUCAAUUUUUGUAAGUAGACAUGGGCCCUUGCAUUACUCAUUUAAACCCGUAGAAGUACCCUAUCAAACCUCCCUUGAAAAUUGAAAACUCGAGUUAUACAUGCUUGAAUCCAAUUAAAAUCUUUGGGGAAUUCUAAUGCCCUAGUAUGUAAUUAAAAAUUUUGAAAUUUAAUGUACUUUAAAAGGUUGAAAAUUAGAUAUUUUAAUUUUAUAAUUUAAAAAUUUUAGUCCAACCAUUAAUAUUAUUAGUAUUUUCUAUCAAAAAUUUCCACGUUGUCAUGUUGAUUAGAUUACUGUCAUAUGAUGUUACAUGUGAGUGACAAAAAAAUAAACAUAUUAAGUUGUCAAAUUUUGACAAAAAUUACCCAAAUAAUGAUUAAACUAAAAAAUUUUAAAUUGAAAAAAUAGGAUUAAAUCUUUUUUUAACUUUUAAAGUACAUGGACUAAUGGCAUAUUUUAACCAAAGGAAAUCCUGAUGUAUGGAAUCAAAGGCCUUCCUCGUAUCAAGAGGGGACAAAUUUCCCAUCACAACCAUUUACCAACUCUUGAGCAGAAGAGCAUUAUUUACAAAACUCCAACCCUCCAUAAAAGCACUAUGAUUAAUAGAUAUAAUAGAUAGCAAGCAUGAACUUGGUCUAUACUUAAGAACUUGAGCUGGGUUUGGGGCCAAAGCAAGAAUAGUAUAACUAAAAGACCCUAACAGCUGACCAGAAUCAAAGAAAAAAUUGACAGUCCUCACCACAUCAGCUCCCAAUGCUUGAAAGAGUUUGGCAGUAUAGCUAUAGAGAAGAUAGUGGAUUUAAUAUCCUCAUCUACAACAGGACAAACCAAACCAGACUUAAGAUUCUCUUCUAACAUGCGAUUACAAUCACUCUCAUCUAAAACUCAAAUUAUGAUAGUUUAAAAUUUCCAAAAAAAAAAAAAAAAACAGACUGAACCGGUAUCAUCCCUACCAUGUACAAACAGAAAAAACUGUAGUUAACCAGUAGUAACAAAACAUGUAAUUUUUCCUCGUCUACUGAACAAUGAACAAUUUGUGACUGAUGUUAUUAAAAUCCUGAUAUAUUAAAUAAGUUUUUCCUCAUAUGUUAAAAUGAAAUGUUUCAUAAAUAUCAAGCAAACCCUUCAGGUUUCUGACUGACCGAAAUAUCUUCCUGAAAUUGUGGCCAAAAUGUUUAGCAUAAUAACUUCAUCAUCGACCUCACACUUCCCAGCUCUCAAGUUAGCACACUUCCGGAGCAGACUACGAAGAGAUGCACAAGUAUCCGCAUCCAAAGGCGUGUCGAUUGCUGCACAUAAAGCAAAUAGCCACACACAGCUGCUCCUCGAUAGUGAGCUCAUGUUCUCAACCGAACUUAUCCAUUUCCUAAGCAUCAAAACUCGAGCUACUGAGUCCAUCUUUUGGAUUGUGGACAAGGUCGGGUAGUCACCACAAGCCUCACUGAUAGAGGUUUUAGGACAUGAAUUGUUGUGAGACAAGGAAAUCUUGUUGUCUGCAGCAUUCAACAAAGGUACCUGGUCAGAACGGACUUCACCGGUUGCAUGACUGUUCAAUUUCUCGAUAACGCCACUGGCCGGCAACUGAAACAAAUCAUCCUCUCGAACAGAUAAUUUUGGUAGCUUACAAGAAAUCUCAGUAUUGGGAUCCUCCAUUUGUAACAGGGCCUGAGAUCAAGAAAGGAAACAAAAGUUAAUUUUUCUUUCAGGUUUUGAAAUCUUAAAAGAUAGCUUUAGAAUUUAAAGAAAUGAAAGCUUUUCUCCUAUGUUGUUUCAACUUUAUUUUUGUUGUACCCAUGUUUGACUCCAUGUUUGAUAUAUAUUUGAACAUGAUUAGGGAGAAAUAUGUGCAAAAAACUCAGUUUUAAAGACUCCAUUGUACCAGAAAAUUCAGUUUUAAACACUUUGAAAAGAGGAAGGGGAAAAGGUUCGAAAUAAGCAUUGUUAAGGGAUCUAAGAUCGUUCAUUCACUCAAUAUGCACUUCAUAUAUUAUAAAUAUAUAUAUAAAUAUAUCCAAUUUCAAGAUUACAUGUUUCUCUUCAAGAUUAUCUAUCAGUAUACAAAGUCAAGCAAUGAUGGCAGAAGAAACAAAACCCAAAAGUACAUACCAGUCGUAGCUCUGAAAAAUCUGCAAGAAAUGCAUCCUCCCAAUGUUUCAAUGGCAAUAUAUGUUCCGGGCACUUAGCAAUUUCAGGAAUCUGAGGCAUAUAAACACUUUGUUCCUUGUUCAAUAUAGUCCUGUCAGGCUUGGCGAUCUUUACUUUUGGAAUUUGAGCAGCUUCCCACCUAAACAGGAAGUUAAGGACUAUUAGUUUGAUACAAUUAGAAUACUCGUAUUAACCAUAGAAAAUCUCUAUUUUGUAACGUAAGAUCUCCAACUGUCAAUCAAAAAGCAACUCCAAUGAAAACUAGACUUGAAAUCUCGCAAAUAAAUGCAAUAAUGUCGAAGAGGUUUCCAAUAUGAUUUAUUAUCCUAACAAAAAUUAACUACAAGUAACACUUAAUUUUGUAUCUACGGCUCCACGAAACCAACAGGAUAAGCAGAGAAGUCACCAUGAGAUAUUGAGAAUAAAGCACUGGAAGAAUGUCUGAUGAUCAAAACCAUUCUAAUGCCAUAACAUUGAAUUGGCAACAGGCCAAAGGGCCAAAACUUAUAAGCCAAGGUUAGAUGAUAUUCCAUACUAAAGACCUAAACAAGUGUUGAAGCUUCCACAUCUGCACCUCCACACUCCAACAAUCUUAAAUUAGUCGGACUCAGACAUAUGUUCAGGUUUCCUGAAGCUUGACCCUGAAAUGUUGCAAUUGCAAGGCUACAGGGGAGGACAGAAAUUAUGCUAAUAAGUACUGGAACUCUACAAGUAUGCAAAUUCUUUCACUUAAAUGAGGACAUGUUUGAGAGAGUUCAGCAGCUGUUGUACUUUCUUUAGCAUAGUUUGAACUGUGAUACGAACCUAGGAAUAGGUCUGUGAAAAUGGAUAAACCUAUGAAAGCAAAACAGCAUUGCUAAUAAAGAAAAUGGAUAAAUUAAUUGACAAUUUAGAGAUAAGGAAGGAUUACCUGACACGCCUAAGAUAUUCUAAUCCAUCCUCCGGAGGACCAGACUCGAAGUCAGGUUCCCCUUCUACCACGAAAGCAGGCCUAAGAAUGCUGGUGUAAUCUUCAUCACUGUCAUCAUCUUCAAUACAUUCUUCUUCCGCGUCAACAAAGGAAUCAACUUCAACAUCACGAGUAGGAGAAAAACUGAAAGGAUAUAUAUUUUCCAUCUCAUUAUCCUCCAUGUAUUCUAGUUCAUUACCCACAUUUUCAGAAUAAUCCCCUGAAAGGGAUCGAAAUAUUUAACGAGUGCUUGUGCAUAUCAGAAUAUUGAAUCCAAAUAAACAGCAAAACAUUUCAAAUAUGCAAGAAAAAGCCAACAGCAAAACAUUAUAAACAUGCAAGUAACAGCACAAGAAAACAUUGCAAAAUGCAUGUAACAGCAAAUGGCUAAUAAAAGCUUUUCCAUCGCAAUUCAUUAAAGAAUAUCAUCACUUUAUUACUUUCUAGUUACAAAGAAUGUAGCAUAUCAUCUGUACCACUAACACACAUUAGAUCUAAAAUACCCAACAGCAACACUCCAACGGACAAUAGCCUAUUGGUAGUAAACACAGAAAUAAUGCACCUAAGUACACACAAGAAAAUCCUAUCAGUUCAAUUGUUGAACAUAAGGUCUUUUUCCAGAUCGAUUCAGGCCAUUCUUCAAUGUACAAAGAUAUUGAGACCAUUCCUUGUUCCUCUUCCAGCAACCACACCUGUUACAACAGAAAAUGAACCCAUCAAGUUGACACUAAAUGAGCUGGAUUCUGGUCGAUGACUGCUCAGAAUGUCUACGAGUUUCCAUAUCAAUUAAAAGACACUAUUUUUUUAUAUAAAAAAGAACUGAAUAAUAGAGGAAAAGUUUUUUUUUUUAAAGAUAAAACUAUGAUUUUUUUUUUUGGUACAAAUGUUCUCUAAGAAGUAAAAAAAAAAAAAAGAGCGUAAAGAGAAGGAAAUUAGAUGGAAGACCUUAAAGCAAAGUACAUUUUUGCAGUCAAAACCAGCUGAAAUUCUGUUAAAGAAACCUACUUGCAGUUAUCAAAGCCAACCAAAAGGUCAUACCAAAUACUGAAUUUAUGAAAUCUUUGUCUGCAAAAUCCUUCCCAUGUUUUAACUUGGACAAAAGAAAUAUUCAUAAAAUAUAUAAAAUCUCUGCUGUAGUUUGAAUGACAAAAUGAGAACUACUGGGAUGAAACAAAAAAUUCCCAUUUUUCAGUUACCAAAGGUCUGGCACCAAAUUGUAGACUAAAAACUAGUCGGUAGAGUAUGAAAGGAAUAUGACUAAAUAUAUGCUACAAAAUAGAAGGCCUCUUCUCAUAUCAAAUGAUAUUCAUUAAAGCUUCAAUCACUUAUACAAGAAAACCCCUGAGCUAAACCAAGGAAAACCUAUGGUAUCACACUCACAGUAUGUCAUGUUUUAUACCAGUUAUCAAACUAUGUAUCAAAAUCUCAAUCAUCCAUUUUUCAGGAAUCAAAGACUGAAACAUUUGGUAUAAAACUAUACAGACUCAUUCCGAGAAACUACAAUCUUAUGAAAGGUUCAAAACUAAAUAUAAAGCAGAAGGGAAUGAAGGGCACCACACAAAGCUUUCCACUAUAUAUCACACAAUAAAAUUCAAAAGAGUGAUAUAGUUUCAUCACCAUCAGAACUAUUGAUAUUAUUGAUGUAUUUAUUUUGCAGAAGUAAACCAUAAUCCCAAAUAACAUCAAUAAAACUCUAUCAUAUGAUGUAUUAGAACUAAUGCUUUGGACUCUUGCUAUGUUAAGGUAGAUAGACAUUCAACAAGGUAAUAGAUAGUGAUAAAUACAACCAAAGGAGCACUUAAAUGUUGAAACAACACAUCAGGAGAAAAAAAAAGAGAGAUAAAACAAAACGUACUUAUAAUUGCAGGAGACUCUGCCUUCUUUCCAAAGCGAUGACGCGUGUCAGAGCUCGAACCCGAACCUGAACCGGUGUUCUUCUGAUGCUUCCAGCUUCCCAAGUCCUCAUACUCUCUGAUCACAUCUUUACCAAGACUAUUAUAUACAUCCCUCCAAAAACUCCUUUGUUCCCCAACCUUGGCAAACCUCAAAGCCUCUAACUCUUCUCUUGAGUACAUUAUCUUAUUUUGAGUUUUGCUUUCUGUCUUACCCUUUUGAACUUCAAAAAUUUUGGUUGAUUCCAUAUGUCUCAUAGUGACUGAUUCCCCUAAGACCUCUUUUACAUUCUUUCCCUUUCUUCUUGAUCUUUUACCUUUCUUACCAUCAAUUUCAUGUUCCCCCUUCUUCUUCUUCUCAUCUUUUACACUUCCAUUUCCAGUUCUGGGGAGUGGAAAUGAUCCAAUCAAAGCCGUAUCAUCGAUGACUUCAAUCUUUAAAGAUCCUUUAACAGGCAAGUCAAGACCUUUGGUACCACCAACGCCGUUUCCAUCAUCAAUCUUGGACGAGUUCGUUGCAAAACCAAAGAUGUUUCCAACUUCAAGCUCAGUCAAAAGUCGUUUCUUUUCAGCUUCCAAGACAUUUUCAGAUUCCAAAGCUUUUCCUUUGGCCACCCUUUUCUCCUCAAAUUCCAAACCGGUCCCGAGAUGUUCCUUGUUAUUAGCUUCAAUGGUGUUGACUUGGUUAUCAACUUCUUGAACUCCAAAAGAACCCUCUUUGUUUUCCACAUCAUCCACCUUUUCUUUCUCGAAAAACCCAGAAAGAGAGACAUCCUUUGGAGCGAAAGAAUGAAGACCCAUUUCUUGGUUUUCCUGAGAAAGAAGGGAAAAGCACUUGGGUUUCUUCUUUGGACUGCUAUGAUCCAUAGCUGUUACUUCUUGGCAAUCUUGAAGGCCCGAAUCCCGGUGGUCGGCGGUGGAUUCAUAGAGAGAAGGGGAAAGGUGAGGGGGAAGAGAAGUUUCUUGUUGUUCAGGGCCAGAAGUUGUUCUACGCUUAGAACAAACGUGCGAAUCGGAUUCCAUCGUAUAAUCAGCCAUUACUGAGAAACAGCGAAUGAAGAAACUGUUGGAAAGAGACGCUGGGGUUUUAGGAUGGGACUUGGGAGGGAAAUAUAUAGAGGAGCAACAGAGGUAAUCGAAUUGAAUAAACUGACUGCAUUGGGUUUAUUCGGUUUUCUCUUCAUUCGGCCCAUAAUUUAUACGCAUUUUCUUACUUCAAAAGUAUUUUCCAUUAUGCUUGUGGAUUUUAUUACUCCUUUUUUGUCACUUGAAUUUAGCUCACUGCAUUUUCUUUAAUUGGUAUUAUUUAUGCAUUCUAUCAAUCUUAUAUUAAUUUUAAAUAAUUCAAUAAAUUUAAUUUUUUAUGUUUAUAAAUUUUAUUAACCUUUUUCUCAAUCAUAAAUCAGAAAACAAAUUUUGAAAGAAUAUGCAACUAUGAUUACAGCUUCAUCAUAAUUCUCAUUAGCUAGUGUACUAAUAUCCUACAUCUCCUUUUCAAGGUGUUGGAUGUCCUGCAAUGGAACUUCUACCAAAUCUGAUUUCUCCUAUACUUCUAUCAUUCCCUAAUUAUUCCACGAAAUUUUACGAUAUUCAAUAUAAAGCUACAAUUCCUUACUCAUCUAUUUCAAAACCAUAAUUUUGAUAAAAAUAAAAUUAAAUAAUAAAUAAAAAUUUAAAUUUAAUUGUGUGCAAAUCCAAAAGUAAUUAACCUACAAAAAGUAACAUCAUAAUCAAAGUACAUCUCUUUGGAGGUGAUAAAGGUUAGGCAAAACCGAUUUAAUGAUGUCAUGUUAACAAAUAAAUUAUACUAAAAUUUCAAACAACCUAAUUCUAUGAACUUAUUUAUGCUUUUUCUAUAAUAAAAUUAUGUUUUAGUAACUCAAUUUUUAAAAGUUACGUAAUAGUCAAUAAUACUAUUAAAUUGUUAUGAUCAUAAGUAAUUUCAAAAUAAUAAAAAUUAUUAAAUGAUCUAUUGAGUAAAAGUUAUAGGUUGUUAGCCUACGAAUAAUUACAAUUGAAUUAAUAUAUUGAAAAUAUAACUCCUUUAAUAUAAUAUUUGAUAUUUGAACUUGAUUUUUUUUUUAAUUUGGUACUUAGACUUUUUUUAAUAUUUGAUAUCUAAAUUUGACACUUUUUCUAAUUUGAUAUCUAAAUUUAUUUUUUUUUGUCCAAUUUAAUACAUAAACUUGUCAAACAUUAUACAAAUUACUCCUAUAAACAAACAAUAUUUUGUUUAUGAGACAAUAAAAAUAACCAAUAUAUAACCAAUAUGUCACAAAGGAAAUCGAACUUUUUUUAUAUUUUAAAUAUUCAAUUACUUCUAGUUUAAUUUAUUUUAAUUUUUAAUUUAACAUAACAAAUUUCUUUUAUUUUGGGUUUUUAACACUCUUGUUUUCUUCUUCAACGUCAUCAUUAAGGUUAGCUCAAAGCAUAAUUUUUUAACAUGAAUUUCAUCUUAUACUAAUGAUGUAUUUGUGGAAUUGAGGGCUUUGUGAAGACAAUACCUUGAUUUAAGCAUGCGAUCUCUCUUGAAUCAUUUAUGUAAUCUCAACCCUAAUGAAAAGUAAAAUUCAAGAUAUUGUUUUGCAAAAUAGAGGAAACUUCAAAUAAUAUUAACAAUUUUUGCCAUUAAAUUCCAUGUAAUCCGUCACAUGUUGAUAAUACAUUAGAUAUAUUUGACAAGUUCAGGUAUCAAAUGUUAUAUUAAGGUAAUAAAAAACAAUCUUCACGAAACAAUUAAAUUUAAAAAUAUCAUAUUAGGGUAAACCACGCCACUAGUCACCUAACUAUUAGAGUAUUUUUGUUUUGAUAAUCAAAACUACAAUUUUUAUUCCAUUACUAACAUUUAAAUUCAAAUGCUGGAACGAACGAAAACAAGUAAGAAAAGUUGGACUGGAUUGAAGCUGUUCGUAAGGAUCUAGAAUAACAAACAUAAACAUAUUAGAAAUCAAAGGAAAAUUUGAAGGGUUAGAAUUAUUUAGAAUUAAGACAAAGUUAAUAGAAUUUAUAAGUGCUAAGGAUUAAAUAUGUUAUUAUACUGAUGCAAAUUAAAUGACAUAUCAUCAUUUUCAUUAAUAUUUAUUAACAUUUUAACUUAAGGUAACCCAAACAGAAUCAAUUAAAGACAUUAGAGAUAAAAUUUAAAGUUUUUAUAAUUUAAGGACCAAAAUUCUAACACGCUAAUAGUUAAAGUAAAUGAUAAUUUAAUUUACCCAUUAUAUUAUAUUUAACAUCAGAAACUUUUUUUUUCUGAAGACACUGCAUAUUUUUUAAUUUGAUUUAAUAAAUAUUACUUUGAAAAUAAAAAAAAAAUACUAAAAGAUAAUUACAAUUUAAAAAAGAAACAAGUUCUCAAUUUAAAUUAUAAAAUAGAAGAUCAUUUUUCAUGAAAAUUAUUUACGAUUAAGAUGACGAGAAAUAAAAAUAAUAUAAUUUAAUUAGUGAAGAAGUAAUCACUGGUCCAGAAUAGAGCUAGACUUUGGUUUACUUCAUUGUGCUGGGAAAUAAACCGGACUGCAAUAAUAAUAAUAAUAAUAAUAAUAAUAAUUAUUUGUUAACAUUUCUAUGUACCACAAGACCCAAUCCCUUGCUUAAUUGCACAACUCAAAAGGACAUCGGCAGCCGGUGACCAAAACCGGCGAAGGAGAGAUCAUAUCAUAUAUCAGGUGAUGUUAAACAAUCCAACCCAACCCUAUACAUGGUUGUCGUAUAUGACCAAAAACAAACAAACAAACAAAAAAGAAAAAAAGGCAGAAAGAAGUAAAUACAUAUAAUAUGUUGAAUACAUAUGGAAUUUGUAGUCAGAAUGGAAAUGAACUGUGCAUAAGUUGCAGAGAUUUCAAUCCAAGGUGAAGGACUGCAUUUAUCUGUUUUUAUGUCUCUGAUGCCGCUGCUGAAGCUUGUCCCUUUGCCAGAGUUUGGAGAGCCUUAACGACGAUGCCCAUGUUUGGACGGAACUCGGAUUCAUACUGCACACACAAUGCUGCCACAGCUGCCAGCUGCAUCAACAGAAAAAUAUAUGUAAUGGAAAUCGCCGAGUGCUAGUUUGGUUUGCAUGUACAUGUCUUAGAGAAUUUGAAAACUGAAAACCGACCCCCAUCCCUAAGUUACAAAUUUAUACUUGGGCGUUAAAAGAUAAAAAAUACCUUAGCAACUCCUUUAGGAGGAUACUCUCCAUUUAGUUUUGGAUCCACACAUUGCUUAACUUUAUCUUCACUAAGUCUCGGAGUAGCCUAAAUGGAGAUACAGAAAACAGAAAUGAAGAGUUAAUCAAAUAUAAAAGGAAACGAAAAGAUCAAGUCCGAGUUUUCAUUUUUUCUGGUACUCAGUAUCCAAUACUUAUGUUUGACACAUUCAAACAUGUGUACAGGGAUAUGACCUGGCAUAGAAGCUUUAGACAAAAAAUAAAAAUAAAGAUAUACCAUAUAGACACAUAACUGUGUCCGACACUAUUCAAGUUCGAGUAACAUGGAAACAACAUGCAAAGGAAACAGAAAUGCACCAUCAAAUUAGACAAAGGGAAGGGAAACGGUGGACCUAAAGCAAUAAGCUCACCCAUGUAACAAGACUCUGCUGUCCGCGAGGCAUUGUAUGGUCAACAGGUUUCCUCCCAGUCAGAAGUUCUAGAAGGACAACCCCAAAACUGUACACAUCACUCUUCUGUGUCAACUGUCCAGUCAUUGCAUAUCUGGAAAAAGUUGCCAUAAAUCAGCUAAAAUUGUAAAUAAAGCUGCAGCUCCUUAGGCAUAGUGAUGCAUUACAAAAAAAAAAAAUGCUGGUUCCCCCUCAAUCUCAAAUCCCUUAGUUUUAGCAACAUGGACAGUGGACUCUACAGACAGGAAACGACCCAUUGGUGCUAGGCUGCGUUUGUAUAUCUAUCAUGAAAGUGGCAGAAAAGGUUGGCAAUUCUUUCCAGUAGCAGCAUCAAUUGGGGGAAAUGCAUCAAUUGGGGGAAAUAGUCAACACCAAUAAGUUAAAUAAAAAAAAAAGUAUAUGAUAAACCCUAGAUGCAAACCAGUUACAAUUAUCUGCAUAUUGACAUUAAACCUAACUAAUCUUAUACAAGAUACCAAAUAAACACACAGCACCAGGGAUGCCAGGCUGGUUCAGAACAAAUAAACAUAAUGUAAAGGAGCUUAGAAAGCAUACUCUGGAGCAUGAUAACCAAAUGUCCCUAAAACUCGAGUAGAAUGAAGACGAGCAGCCAUGUCAGGAGAUUGGUUUGAGAGGUUAAAAUCUGCAAUUUUUGCUUUGAAGUCUUCGAAGAGAAGCACAUUGCUAGAUCUAAUAUCUCUGUGUAUAAUAGCAGGUUGAGCCUUCUCAUGUAAGUAUUCCAAGCCCCUUGCGGCAUCAAUAGCUAUUCUUACCCGCUGCAUCCAGUCAAGCACUGGACCUGCUUGUGCCCCUUGAACCCCCUUCCUUCCUAUAAUCACCGGAAAAGGAAAAAAGAAGAAAAGAAAAACAUCAAGCUAAUGGAGCCUUCUUUGUAUAACAAAACGUUAGUUGGAUAAAUCUAAAUCAGGAACUAAUUUUAGGAUGGCCACACAAACCGUGCAAUAUGUCAUGUAGUGAUCCCAUAGUUGCAAACUCAUAUGCAAGGAUGCGGAGAUUUCUUUCAACACAGUAACCUUGCAACUCAACAACAUUUUCAUUCUUAAAUCUUGAAACCAUGGAAACCUAAACAGAUUAAAUGUGUACGAUUAAAGGUGUUAUGAAACAAGAGGAAAACACAAUAUGACAACAAUCUGAAUCUGCAUUAACGAUAAGAAUAAAGAAAGAAAAAACUUAUUAAAGACCCUUCUUUCGAAUUGCUUACAGACCUGGGUCAAAAACUCCACAGUUGAGUCAGGCUCAGCAGAAGUAUCUAGCUUUUUCACGGCCACAGCUUUUCCAUUGUCCAAAUUUGCAUAAUAAACUCUGCCAUAGGAACCCUCACCAACCAAAGCCUUUGAUCCAAAAUUGUCAGUCUUUUCUUUCAACUCUUCCAGUGAUAGUGCGGGCACUUCAAUAGGUGGUGCUGAUUUAUGCACUUCGGGUUUGACAUCAGCUGCUACCCUUGUGUCUUUUUCCUGCCCUGAAAACAUGUAGCAUGAGAGAUCAGAAAAAAAACUUAGAAUAUCAUCAAAACUGAUGAGAAAUUGAACAAUUAAACAGAAACAAGGAAAAAAGUUCUUCUAAAAAACUAUUGACAGAAUAUCAAAUUUAAGGUACCAGAUUAGAAGAUCGGACAACAUAUCCCAAUAAACUGAGGCAAACUUUUUUUUUUCCCAUUCGAGGAAUACUAAAAAUAAAAUUCAGAAAGAAAGAAAGAUUUGAAGUCUUGGUUGACAUUAGGUCCAAGGUUCGGAUCUAGACAACCUAAUCCCUCUCUCGUUUAAUUAAAAGAGAAACUGAUCAAAAGCAACCAAAAUUAAUCCCUAAUUCUUGAAUAAUGAAGGAAAUAUUGACAAGAAACAUAGAAGCUUCCAUUCUGAAAUGCAAUGAUUAGAAUGCAAGGUAUAUUUCAACCAAAAUAUGACAUUAUGAAACAAAAGAAGAAGGAAAAUCAUGAGAAAAUAGAGAACUUCCUAAUUUCUUUGCAUAAAUCAAGAGUACUUGAACAAAAGUCAAUUGACAAAGACAUACAUACACACAUACAAAGAGUACUCUAUCACAUAUAUUAUAGCAUUUGUAUUUACCAGUUUAAGGUAAACAUCAAAAUAACAUACCGUCUGAUAGAAACACGGGGCUCUUCAAGUGCUCACUUUCAUGUGAUCGAUAAUUCUCGUUUACCUGACGGGUACAACAAAGCCACCGACGCAUCCUUGCUCUUUUCUUCAAAUACAAAUCGUCAGUAUUUUCUAGUUGAGGAGGAGCAUGUACCUGUAUAAUUCCAUAAGACAUUCAUUCAUAAUCCUACAUAUUGUAAAAUUAAGUAAACUAUGAUAAUUAAUUCCACAUGCGGUGCAACCAAAUUUUCCUAAUGCCGGGAUUAAAAACAAGCUUAAAAAUGAUACGACACAUAACAGAGAUUCAACAUUCAUCCAACAAUGCAAGCAGUCAAAACUCCAAUAAUAACAUAUUUAAAAUAGAACAUAGAAAAAGAAAAAGAAAAAGAAAAUGUUGAUAAAUAUGUAGGAAAAUAAUUAAACCACAGCAUUAUCUGAUCAAAAAGCAAUAAAUUUAAUUAAAAGAAGAAGAAGAAACUAAAGUCCAAUUGAAUUAAUUAUAAUUCAUAAAUUAAACGUAAUGAGAUGAAUUUUCGAUAAAAAAUUUAAUACAUAUAAAAUUAAAAGAGAAAAAUUGAGGCUUACCAACAAGCCACGCCAAUUAAACUAGCCUUGGAUUAAAAAGGAAAACAGAGAAUUAAAAGUGAAAAUGCAAAUAAAUAAAAGAUUAAACGACAACCCAGCCUUGAUUCUAAAAUGGGUCCAUGAAAAUUCACGAAAGAAAUCAAAGAAUCAGAAGACCCUCAAAUUCUCAAAACAAAAAAGAAAUACCUGGCUUUUCUCUCAAAUUCCUCUCCUUUUUAUUGCAAAUAAAAAUCUCCUCUCUUUCUCUUUCAAGGGUUGGUUUGUUAUAAAUUCUUUUUUUUUUUUUUUUUGGUUUUUGAAUUUUGUGUUGGAGAGAAAGAGAGAGAAACAAACAGCGAUAGAAUGAAAUUGGAAGAUUUUGAUAUUUGAAGGCUUUUCUUUUUUUCGGUUUUGAAUCUUUUUUAUGGAAGAAAAAAAUGACAGAAAGGCAGCGCGCGAAAUGAUAAAAAUUGAAUGGAACAUCUCUCUUUUUUUAAUUUUAGUUUUUCUUUUGGUUAAACUUUUCCAUUACUCCCUCUACUUGGUCAAGGUUGUGGAUUUAAUCCAUAUGCUUUAAUUUGAUAUUUUUAGUCCCUGUACUUUUUGAAUUUUAAAAUUUCAGUCCUCACCAAGUGGUACUAUUCAAUUCAUUUUGUUAAGUUCUUCUAUUUCCAAAGUCUGAUGUGGGGAACAUAUUAUCGUAUGCACAAUGCUUUGUCAACUUGUUAUUUUCACAUAUUACUCAGUUAAUGGAUUAAUAACGAUCAUGUGUGUUAAGAUUGGAAUUGCAAAAUUCAAUAAGUAAAUAGAGUUAGAAUGAUAUAAUUGAAGAAUAUGGACUAAAUCCAUAACUAUAUGCAUAGUAUAGGAUUAGUAAUUGAAUUUAACCAAACAAAUUUAAUUGCUAUUAUUUGGGUUAGGAAAAAAUUUCAAAAUUCAAAAAGUACAUUAUCAAAAUUAACUAAUUUGAGACUAAAUUUGGUCAAAUUAAAGAAUAAGGACUAAAUGCAUAAUUUUUACAAAGUAUAAAGACUAAUAGCAGAAUUUAACCUUUUUUUUUCUUUUUUAGUUUCUCUCUUUGAUGAUUAAUAAAUAAUUAUAUAUAUAUAUAUAGAGAGAGAGAGAGAGAGAGAUUUGUUAAUGGAAUUUGUUUAGAUUACCCUAUAUAAAAACUUGUACAUUGAAUAAAAGAGUUUGAACCGGAAAUUUUAAGAUUAUGAAGAAAAUUUUAAAAUGUAUUACAAUUAUUAAUCUAAUUAGUGUGACAUUUUUUUUUUGUUAAAAUGAAAAAUUAAAAUAUCUUCAAAUAAUAUAACUUAUUUUAAUUAUAGAAGAACAUUUUCAUAAUUUUUUAAUCGAGUUAGUGACCUGAAUAACCUAUGACACUAACUCAAUUAUGGAUUUUAUUAAUAGUAUAGAUAGUAGUCUAUAGGAUUAACUCAUAUAUUGGUACUUAAAUUAUACUCAAUUACUCCUAAGUAUUUUUUUUCUUUUUUUUUUUUAGAAAUGGUACCUAAACUAUUUUUUUCUAAGUUAGUAUCACCGCUAGUCAAAUCAGCAAGUCUAUUUUUUUUAAUAAGGCUUAACCCAUUAAUUGAUACCUAAACUAUGUCAUUGUUCUCAUUUUGGUACCUAAACAUUUUUUUUUGUCAUAAAUGGUACCUAAACUAUUUUUUUCCCAAGUUGGUACAUUUGUCGUUAGUCAAACCAUUAAGCUUAUUUUUUUUUAAAAGAUAACCAAUUAAAAAUUACCAUGUAGCAAAAAAUUAUAUUAUUUUCUGUAUAUGCCUUUAAAAUAUUAAAAAAUUCAAAAAAAUUAAAAAAAAUAGAGAGGACUAAUUUUUAUUGGUUCUACCGAUUUUUUUAGCUCAGUUUAGCUGAUUUGUUUUGGUUCGUCAGCCAAUGAUUUAACCUUUAUCUUCGAACUAAUUAAAAAAAAUUACCAACUGAUCGAUCCAGUUUGGUUCUAAAAACACUGGUUUUGAUUGAUGAAAGAACUUUUUUGAUCCCAUCAUGUUAAGCAAGUAGGUGGUGAAGUUUGAAAAAAGAAUUAAUCACCAGCGUCUCAAUCUCGAGAGGACCAAUUUCAAACAUUGUUGGCAUUGUCAAAUAUUAUAAAAGAGGAAAAAAUAAAAUAGAAAAAAUAAAGAGAGAAAUAAUGUAAAAUAAAAUAAAAAAGAAUCAAAAAAAUAUUUUUAAAAGUUAUAAUGACAAGACAAUCUAUUAUUGGCUAAUUUUUUUUAAUGGAUAUAAUAUUUUGGUGUAAAAUGGUUAAGGUGCCACUUGUAAUCAAGAAAGAGUUUACGUACCAACUUAGAAAAAAAAUUCUUUAAGUACAAAUUUAUAGGUUAAGGUUUUUUAAAAAAAUAAAUAAAUUUAACGGUUUGAUUAAUGAGUAACCAACUUGAAGAAAAAAAAAGUAAUUUCAAUAUCACGUGUGAUCAAAAAAAAAUUAUCAAGAUGUGAAAAAUAACAUAAUUUAGAUAUCUAUUUGUGAAUUAAGUUUAGUCUAUACUAUGUAUUAAACUCCUAAGGUCCAAGAGCCAAUUGAACAUUAAUUCAACCGGUAAUGAUUAUAAUUAUUUUUUUUACAAAUUAAAUUGUAUUAUUAUAAGAUUUUAUAUAUAUAUAAAAUUACUAAAAAGCUCAUACAUGGUGAAACCUAUAACUAUGUGAUCUUUAUAUUUUUAACUUUUUCAUUUGAACCAAAAUUUCCUUUAAUUUUGUCAAUUGAGUAAUAGCUCGGUUGACGUUGUUAUUAUUGUCAAUGUCACAGGGUUAGAAUUUUAAUCUGCCAAACCGCGCAACCUUAGGCGAUUUCUUUACUUCAAAUCUGCCUAAGUCAGCUUUACUCUCGCAAAAUGAGAAUUUUUGUAGAAUUUCUCUAAGUCAUUGAAACAAAGCGGAAGCAAACUCGAAACGAAAGAGUGAAAACCAAAUGUUUUUAAUUAAAUGUUCUCAAAUACAUUCACAACUAUGAAUGGAAUCAUUACAAAUGAAGUGGGAGGUCUCUAUUUAUAGUUGAGCUCUCCCAAAACUAACGGUACAUAUUGAGUUAGAUCGACGGUCAAGAUUAGAGCCUAUCUACAAUUGAGAAUCCUAAGAGAUUUAAACUAUAAACAAUCUUAUCACUUUAAGAUUUGCACUAUUUACACUGGUAACUUUAGUUUUACUGGAGUAUUUCAUUAGGUUUCUCCAUAUGUUUCAUGAGUCAGGUGAGUUCAAAUAGGAUAAAUUGAACCUUAUUUCAUCAAUUGACCUCCAUGAAACGCUUUUUGCGCAAUCGUCGCAGGUUUUGAUCUAUGAUCCAUAACACUAAAAUAUGGUACAAAAAUAUUAUUUAAAUAAUUAAAUAUGAAAUGACACAGACAAGUUACAAGACCAUAAGAUAAAUUAGAUUAUAGCACAAUUUAAAUGUGAAUGAAAAAUAUUUACGUAAGAAUCAAAUAAGUCUUUGGUUGAAAUGAUAAACUAAAGGUCUAAAAAUUAUAAUGGUCUAAAUGCAAGUCUUACCAUAUGAAUUUUUUUAUUGAUUUUAUAAAAAAAAAAGCAUUCUUAUAAUAAUUCAUUUUGUGAAAUGAAUGACUUUUUAGUAAUUUUAUAAUUGAGUUAAUGACCGAUUCACUUGUGACACUAACUCAAUUAUGGAUUUUUAGUAGGGUUAAUAUAUAUUUUCCCCUUGAACUUGAUUACUUGUAAGUAGUUGGUACUUAAAUAUAUUUUUUUGUACUGAACUUGGAUUUCAUCACACACUUUAGUACCUCUAAAGUAAUGUCAUUAGAAUUUGACAAAGUAGCACUGGUAACCAGUAAUAGGCUAUUUAACCUAACUAACCUAAAAUAAAUAAAUAUUUAUAAAAAUGACCUUGUUUGAAAAACUAUGAUGGAAAUAAUUUGAAAUCUAUAGUGUCGGGCGGUGCUGGCCAUCUCACUGUUGGCACCACCCUCCAUCAUUCCCUAAUCAUGCCUUAAUGAUUGCCCCGUCCAAUAAAAAAUGAUAUUUUUUUUGGUGUCGGCACUAUAAUAGUCGGCACCCAUAUGUACUUUUUUGAAUACCUUAAAAAAUAUAUAUGUAGUUGUUCUACAAUUUAAAAAUAAAAAGGAAAAAACUAAUAUUUUUAUAAAAUAAUUUUUUAUUUUUUUGGUGACAGUGUUGAAGUGACCGAUACCACUUCAAAGUUUAAAAAAAAAUGAUUUUUUGCAUUUUUGGGUGUCGAUGUUGAAGUGGCCAGCACCAGUUCAAAACUUUAAAAAAAUGAUCUUUUGUUUUUUUGGUGUUGGUGUUGAAGUGGCCGGUAUCGGUUCAAAAUAAAAAAAAUGGAUUGAGGAGGAAGAGAGUUGAACUCCGAUUGUAUCAGUUGGCUUGAUAGAGGUUGGUGAUGGAUGAUUGCCUAGUGGAGUGAAGGCAGUGAGAAGAAUAAAGAGAAGUAAAGAAUAAAAAAAGAAAAAGCUAAAAACAAUCUGUAACCAUGAUUGAAGAGAGAAGGAGGAUAGGAAAUAAAAGCUCAAUAAAAAAAGAAAACUGUUACAGAAACCAAAAAAAUAACAUUGGGACUAGAGGUGUGCAUGGGCCGGGCCGGGCCGGGUUCACAAAAAAUUUUAGGCCCGUUUUCUAGGCCUGGACCCGGCCCGGCCCGAAAUAUGGGCCUAACAAUUUGUCCAAGCCCGGCCCCAAAUAAAAUUGUGAAGCCCGAGCCCGGCCCGGCCCAUAUUUAAAAUUUUUAACUUAUUUUAUUAAAUAAAAAAAUUUAAAAUAUAUUAAAUAAUCAAAUACAUUUAAAACAAAUAUUAAAACAAGAAACAAAUAAAAAAUAUAUUAAAACAAUUCUUAAAACAAUACACAAUUUGAAAAAUAUAAUAAAAAUUAAUUAUAUUAAAAUUAAAAUUAAAAUUAAAAUUAAAAUAUAAUUAAAAAUAAAAAAUAUAUAUUUAUUAUAUAAUUCGGGCCGGGCCGAGCCGAGCCGGGCCCGGGCCAAAAAAUUUUACCCGAGCCCGGCCCAUUUUCUAAACGGGUUUCAUUUUUGUGCCCAAACCCAUAUUUCGGGCCUAUAUUUUUACCCAAACUCUCUCAUUUUUCGGGCGGGCCUUCGGGCCGGGUUGGGUAGCCCGGCCCAUGCACACCUCUAAUUGGGACCCUAUUUACUUUAUUAUUUGAAAAGCAAUAAAUAACUUUAAAUAGAUAUAUUUAAUAUAUUUAAACAUAUUUCAUCAGUCCAUGUAAAUAUUAUCUAUUUCAAUAGAAAAUUUUAAAAUUUAUUUGAUUAUAUUUAAUAUAUUUAGGCAUAUAUGUACUCUUGUUUAGAAUUUUAUUUUUAAUUAUUUGAUUAAAUUUUUAAAAAUAUAUUUUAAUUAAUGUUGAAGAUAACUAGAUAUAUUAAUUUUAAAAAACUCUAAAAAAAACUAUAUAACAUCAUUUUUAACGAUAUUAUCUCAAUUUCUUGAUUUUUAAAAUAUAUUUCCCUAUUUUUACUUUCAAUUUUUGUUAUGUUUUAUGGAAACUAAUAUAUAUUUUUAGUUUGCGUAUAUUCUCGGUACCUUGUAUUUACUUUCACUUUCAUUUUCUUUUGUUACUGUAGGCAUUAAUAUAAAAAUGACUAAAUUUAUUAACUUUUUAACUUUUAAUUUUUUUACUAAUAAUAUUUUUAUUUGUGUUUGAGUAAUAUUUUUAUAUUUUUUUAAUCUCAAAGGUACAUACAUUCAAUGAUUUUUUUAAAUUUGACUAUUAAAUUAAAAAUAUUUCUUUUUCUUUAUUGAUUUGUCUUAAAUAAUUGUUAAUUAAUUAUUAUUGUAUUUAAGGCAGCUUUCACUAUUUUUUUUUCUUUUAUUGAUUUAUCAUUAAUAACUAUUCCUCAAUAAUGGUUACAGAUGAGUUUUGGUUUCUUUUUUAUUUUUUAUUUUUCAUUCUUUACUUCUCUUCUUUCUUCUCAAUUUGCCCUAGCCAACUCCUUCACUCCACUAUGCAGUCAGUCAUUGUUGACAUCUUUCGAGCUAAUUGACACAAUCGAAGUGUAGCUCUCUUCCUCCUCAAUCAUUUUUUUUAACUGGUGCCGACCACUUCAAUACGACACCUAUUAAAAUACUAUUUUUAUCUUUUUCUUUUUAAAUCGUAGAAUACCCAUAUUUUUUGAAGGUAUUUCAAAUAUCAUUUUUAUUGUACAGGGAAAUUAUUAUGGCAUGAUUAGGGAAUGAUGGAGGGUGGUGAUGAGAUAGUCGGCACUGCUUGACACUGUAGAUUUUAAGUCAUUUUUAUCAUAGUUUUUCAAACAAAAUCAUUUUUAUAAAUAUAUAUAUAUAUAUAUUAGGUUAAUUAAGUAAACAAUCUCACAUCAUAACACAUUGAAAGUCCUAGUAAAAAUAUAUUUUUUAAAAUAUAUAAACUUAUAAAUUUAUAAAAAAAAUAUAAAAUUUAUUUUAAGUUGAGAAUGAACAUGGACAAUUAAUUGCGUGCAUUCAUUCUAAACUUUUUUUAAGAAAUUUUUUUUAUAUAAAAUAUUAGAUUUUUAUAUUAUCACUUUAAAAUUAAAAAAAUUUAAAAUUUAAAAAAUAUAUAAAUUUAUUAAAAUUAUUUCAUAUAAAAAAAGAACUAAGACAAAUGGUUGUCUAGAAGUAGAUUAACUUGGACAUCAAUUUAUUCAUAUUCAAUCUGAAAGUGCUUGUUUUAAUAAUUUUAUUUAUUUAUAAUAAAAAUCUGGUUUUAUAUUAUUAUUUUUAAUUAAAAAUAUGUAAACUAUAUAAUCUAUUUUUUUUUAAAAUAAGGUAAAUUAUACAAAUCGUCAACUAAUUAUUGGCACGUUUCUAUUUUGAUCAUUUAACUAUAAGAAAAUCAAGUUAGGCACUAAUGUUUACUAUUCUUUUUUUUUGGUUAUUCACCGCUAAAAUGGCAACAAAAAUAAUGAUGUGGCCUUUUUUAAACUGGUAUAAUAACAAAUUAAGUUUUUAAUACUUAUACAUCCUAUCAAUUUAAUUCUAAUUAUAAAUAAUUCAAAAAAUGUAACCCUCUGAUUUACAAAUUCUAUCAAAUUUAUCCUUAAACACAUAUAAUUAUCAUAAAAAUAAAUAUAAUUAAUAUAUAUUUUGAAAAUGUAUAAAAUAAAAUAUUAUAUAAUAUUUAUUGAAACUCAUAUAUGGCAAACCCAUGACAUCAUUUUACAGAAUAUUGAUUUAUUAUAAUUUAAUUAUGUUUAAAUAAAGUUAUUAGAAUUUAUUUUAUUGUUUUUAUUUUGUUUAAUGAUAAUGUAUCGUAUUAUUAUUUAUUAAUGGUAUAUGAAAUUUAUGUAUUUAUUUGAAUGAGAGUAUAAUAUGAAGUUUGAAAAGGAAGAUUCAAAAGGUUUCCUACUCCAUCAAGAAUCUCCUCAACCAGAUGUUCCAUUUUGAGUAUCCUACCAACAUAUAGAACAAAUGUUUUGUGCCAACGGAUGUCCCAUCAUCAAUGAGACUUUGAACUAAUGGCUUGUAAGCCAGAUGAUUUGCAAUACUGCUCCACCACAUCCAAUGAUGAAUGAAAAAUUGAAGGGAUAGAAAAUUAAAAAGAUGAGUCGUUUGGUAAAAAGGAUAGAAAAAUGAAAAGAAAAAAAGAAAAAUUGAAUGAAAAUUUCUUAUUUUCUCUCUUCUCAUCAUUUCAAUUUAAAAGGAUUGAUAUUUAUGCAUCAAGAUGAAAAAUGAUAAUCUCUAUUUUUUUUUCCUUUCAUUUCAUUUUUCUUUUCAAUCAAACACACUCAAAAUUUAUUUUAUUUCCAUUUUUUCUUUCUAACUUUUUCAUCUAAUCAAAUACACUGUAUAGAAAACUAAAAUUUAGGGUAAGAAUAGAAGGAUAGAAUAGUACCCAACAUUUCAAAGCUAUAAGGCAAUGAAGAUUGACAUUUACAACUGUUAAAAUUUAACAUCAAUUAUAACACAUUGCACUUUGUUAUUUAAAAAACUGCAUUUUCUAGAUAAAAGUGUCUUCUUCCUAUCAAGCCUUUGUUUUAGCCGUUAUUUAUUUUCCCAGGAAACGUCAAGAAAAGUUGAACUCUUUUAAACUUAGAACCAAAAUCAAUCAUGGUCUAUAAUACCAAGCUUACAAAGUGAAAGAUUCAUAACUGCCUCCAUCUAUUAUACAAUAUAUAAUAAUUUUGUAUUUUGUACUUUUUCAAAUUAUAUAGUAAUUAUAUGUGUUUAAGAAUAAAUUCGAUAGGAUUUGUAAAUUGUUAAAUUUAUUGAAUUAUUUAGAAUUAGGAUUAAAUUGAUAGAAUAAGUAAGUAUUGAAGACUUAUAGGUUAUCAUACCAGUUAAAAAAUAUCCCGUCAUUAUUUUCAUUAUCAUUUUAACGGUAACUAACCAAAACAGAAAUAUGUUCAUAGUUGAGUAAACAUUUUUAUAGUUUACCCUUAAAAUUAUAUAUAAAAAUUAUUUCACUUCGAGAAUAAAUAUGAACAAACGAACGCCCAAAUUCAUUCUUGAGAAUUAAUUAUAUAUAUUUAUAAAUUUAUAAUAUUAUAAUUUUUUAUUAGGGUUUGCCUCGUGUCAUGAUAUGAAGCUAUUACAUAUCAUUGUAUAAUUGGUUGCCAAUGUCACAUCAUCAAAUUCUAAUCAUGGUACUAUAAAGAUACUAUAGAGAUUAUUGCAUGGGAAUGUAGCACAUUUCAUGACUACUUGUUUACUUCUUUGAAGAGCACUUACAACAAGAAAAUUAAUCAUUGCUACCAAGAGUGAACACUCUGAUUUUAAAAAAAGAAAAAGACACCUUAUAUUAAAAAAAAAUAUUUUAGUAAACAUUUACUUGGUGAUGCAAAAAAAAAAAUAGUUUGCUAGAGUCAUGUUUAGAAGAAUUCUAUACUUCAAAUUUAUUUAGUGGUACUUUUUUUUUGGGUAACAUUGGCGUUCAUAUGAUAGUGGAAUUUUUAUACAUAUUUUGAUUUUUUAAAAUUAUUUUGAAAUAGUUUAUAAUUUUUAUGAGAGAAGUCAGUUUUUUUAUUUUUAAAAUUGGCAAAAAUUUAAGAGGCCUUUAUAUUAAUUUAUUAUUUGAGUAAUUAAAAUUAUUUAAGUUAUAAAAUUUAACUGGACUUGAAUUCAAAAAAUCUAAUUAUUUAUUGAAGUUGAUUCAAAAAAUUUAGUAGCUCGAUUCAAUUAACUUGAGAUUUAGGCUUUUUUCGAUUCUUUUAAUCGAUCUGAGUUCUGCUCAAUACUUUCAAAACCGAAUUAAUGAUUGAAUCGGUUAGGCCGCCACUUGGCUAGUUCAACCAAUUCAACUAGUUCAAUCAAUUCAAUAAAAAAUUAUUAAAAAUAAAAAAUAAUAGAAAAACCCAAUUCAAUCGGCAUAUUGAUUCCCAAUUUAAUCGAUUCAAUGCUAUUCUUCAAACUGAUACCUCAAUUAAUUUUUAGUACAGAAGCAUCAUUGUUUUGCUCACUCCAAUUCCAAAAUUUGGUCCUUUAUAGAAAAAAUAUAUAUAAAAACUAUUUAAGAUCCAACCACCCAUUUUUUAUUCACAAUUGAGUUUCUUAUUCCAUGAUCAAGAAACCUAGGUCCAAAGAAACUUGUUUGUCUUUAAUAUAACAACUGACGCUUCACUAAGUUUUGACAACUUCUUACUACAAAUUCACAAGAAAUAACAAAAAACCAACAUUGUCUUUACUUGACAUUUCUGUCUAUGAUGUAGCAAAAAAAACAAACAUAUCUGUUUAUGAAACUUGUAUACACAAGUACCUUUCAAAGCAUUGUCACUAAAAGGAGAGCACAUGUAUUUACAAAACUGACAUGAUGCAUGCAUGUACGGGAUCGAUACCCGCCUUAAGCAGAAACCGGGGUUCGUUCUAUCGAAUUUUUUGUCUGAUAUUGUUCCUUGAAACCCAACAUCUUAUUUAAUGCACCAAUAUAAGCCUUGACACUGGAAACAACGAUAUCCAUUCCUGCCCCAUUUCCACUAGCACAAAAAGGAGAUCAAUUUUAUGCACUGAAUUUCAGAGGUGGAAGUGGAAGAAGUACACAUGUCAAAUGGAAACAAGAAUAUGAAGAAAACAUACCUGAAUGUUCGCUGAACAAUUUCACCGGUCAAAAUAUUAGUUGAUAUGCGGCUUUUCUCAGCACGAAUUAGAACGCGGGUGGUGGCUAUAGCAUCAAUGCCUUCUGUAACGGCAUUCAUGGAGUACUCAAGAAGUGUAACUGGUUCCUGCAAAAUGAAGGAAAAAAAGCUUUAAGUACUACCAAAAAAUAUCAGCAAAAAAAGAAGAAAGAAGCACUCAAACACCGAGAAGGGUUGGGAAGAUGGAGUGCAUGGUGGAAACCCAGAAAAACAAAGGGCAGAAUUAUUAACUAUUGUCCUCAACUUGAAUCCCUCCUUAGAUAAUAAAUGCCACAGAACACCAUUAUGGAUAGGGGAAACCAUUCACCAAAGAAUACUCAGAAUGGUACCAAAGAGCCUGCAGCCUGAGAUUAUGGAUGUUGGAAUUCGAAUUCCAGAUCUCCUGGAUGCCAUUCCUUACUAGUGGCUGUACGAACCAAUUGAAAUAAACUUCAAGUUCAAAUAAUAUUUUCACACAAGGCGGAAAGGGGAACGGCGUACAAAGAAAACAGAAGAUAGUCAAUUAGGAAACUUUAAAUUCUAACAGAAAUUUUAUUGACUAUAGGUUACAACCUAUAAGUCCUAGUGAUGAACCACAGGUUUCUACUAGCAGGUAAGGAGCUUUUAUUUUUAUGGCAAGCACGACAAGAUAAGUUUGGAUAAAACAUGUCUACUGACCGACUAAUCAAAUAAAUACAAGCCAUAUUCUCAGCUACUAAAUUCAGGUAACACGACACAAUGUUGCUCCGGCUCUUCAUUUUUGUUGAACCAUCUGUAUGUGGCACAUUUUUGGACGUAUAUAUGAGUACAUGACCUUCUAAAGAUCGCACAAAUAUAGAAAAAGUUGAACAUACACGUACCUGUAUCCAACACUCGCACACAAGAGCUUGAGUAACAUAGGCACAUGAAGAGAAGAAGGGAGUGAAUGAAAAGGAAAGGAAGUUCACUAAAUGAUGAAUAGACCACACUGAGGUUCAAUAUUCGAAACUGAAAAUUAUGAACUAAAUGGCUCCAUAGUUGGAGCCAAUGAAACCCUAUAAAGAAAAAAUAAAUCCCAAAAGGACAUUCAUGAUAAUAAAAUCAAGAACUCACAGACAAUUUCUUAAUAACCCUACCACUGAAUCGUGCAUCAUAUUUUAUCCCAUACCCAACAGAAAAUUCUAGAAAACAAAGGAAAACUUCUAAUCUUCAGUAUCAAACCUUUGUAAUGAGAUCAAUAGCUUUAUAAGCUGAAUCUACUGGCCCAGUUCCAACUGAGCAUGCAACAUGUUCCUCGCCAUCAGCACCAAUGAGUUUAACUGUGGCAGUAGAAAGACCAAGAGUUCCACAAGUAACCUGCAUUUAAUGUUUUCCAUUAAAAAUUAAGUUCACAUAAGAUGAUGGGACUGCUGCUAUACAAGAACUGAAAUCCAAAUUGUAUAUCACAGAUCAUGGCUAUUUUACAUCCUGGAUCACUUUGGUGCAAAUGUGGAUCACCAAAACCAUGGACCUAAAUUGAUAGGUGAAAUAGGAAGAAAGAAAAAGAGGAUCUGAUAGGAAAAGAAUGUGACCAAUCAAAAAUAAAAAGAAAACAGAAGAAUCUGGAAACUUCUAACAUGGGGUGCGAACAGUGAGGCAGAACAGCUGGAGGUUAAGAGAACAUGAAUUAAAGCCAUUAUUUUGAAUUUUGAAUUGUUAUUGGGGCUUCAUGAAGUUCAUAAAUUUUUUAUCGGGGUUUAAUCAAGCUUAUAAAUUGCGGAGCUUUAUUCUCGAUUUUUCACUGGUAAGUAAAUAAACACGUCGUUUAGGGAAUGAGGAAAAAUUACUACAAAAUAUACCAUAAUUUUUCUCUCAUUAGAGGAAAAUUAAAUAAACUGAAAGCAACCAAUCUAAAUAUAAUGCAUUUUCUUAUAAUCAUGUCUAUUACCGACUAUAAACUACAUAUACACUUAUCUCUAUAUUAUUCAAAUUAAACCAAAAGCAAAAAAUAUAUAGAGUUUAAAGUAAUACAACCCCAAAAAUGCUUCAUAUAAUAUUGCAAUCCAAAUAGAAUUAGAGAAGCGUACGCCCACUGUACCAUGAAAAACCUUUUGGACAUCCAUGUCACAUUCCUGUUACUAUGGUUCAACUAUCUCUAGUUACCUGCAGAUCAUGAAGCUUCCAAACAACUUCAGGUUGAAAAACUUCAUCCGAAACCAAGGCUAUUAGAUCAGCAUCAAUGACUCUCUGGAACACCAGUAAAUAAAACAUGUAUAGAACAACAGUUAGUGUUGCCUUUUAAGAUCAAAAUAUAGCAAAGAAGAACGCACUCCAGCUAAAAUAAACAAAACUUCCAAACAACAGAAAUCAUGCAUUUUUAGCAUCGCUUUAGAACAACAGUUAGUGUUGCCUUUUAAGAUCAAAAUAUAGUACAAAAGAAUAUAACUCAGCUAAAACAAACUGACUAAAAAUGCCAUAACCAACAAAAUUUGAUACAAGCAUUCAUAACCAACAAAGACUGUUACUUUCCACUACCUUUUCAUAAUCACUAUAUGAUCUUGAAAAUAUAUUUUCAAUUAUGUGAAUCACAAAUCCACCUACAUCAGUCACUAACUAUUUGCUAAGCCAUCCCUGAUAACAAGAAUCCUUAAACCAGGGAUACCCAGAAAAUCUUGCAACAAAUCACCUGCCAGCAACCCCUAUGUCGUCAUUCUCUAAGCCCACAGACAAUUUCUCAAACCAACAUCAUAUCUUUAACCAUUAAAUUAAAAGGUUAACCAUGUAAUAAUUCCAUGAUCAAUUGAGAAAGAUUGGUGUUUAUUGAGUUAAAAUUACAUUCAACAACGAAAAUGGAGCUUAUGACUGCCCCAGCAUAUAGUAAACAAGAAAAAGAAAAAAUACAUUUAACAAUAAAAGCAUUAUCUAUUUCCUGUCUCAGUAUUGUAUCCCAAUCGUUUUUUCAUUCCAUACAGAUAAGUAGUUUAGUUGCUGAGACUAGAAAACCAGUUUUUCAAAAUUACUGAAAAGGUAUGGAGAACUAGAAAAACAGUCAAAAGGUAAAAUCCAUUACUCUAUUGUUGUUAUGCCAAGGGAAAUUUUUAUACAGACUUGUUCUCUAUGUACAACCUCUCCUCAAUUUUCAUUUUCUUAGAAAUUAUCAUUGGAAAGGAGAAUUCCACAGUUGAAGACAUCUCAUUUUUAAAACACAAUUCAUUCAGUUUGGAAUGUUAUAAAUAGUUGCCUGAAUGAUGAGAUUACAGGAAAAGAAAUCCGGGAAAUCAGUAGAGAAUUUUGGUCACCUUCUUUUGUUCAGCUACUGCUUUGAAGCGCCAGAAUAUGUUGCCCAGCUGUUCAUCGUCAAGCUCAUAACCAAGCUGAGAUAAACAACAAGAACUAGGUGCUUAGAUGAAGAAAAGAGAGGUAAUUACAUGUAACAUGCUAAAUAGCACCAUACCUCUUUCAAUCGGUCUUUUAAAGCAUGCCGUCCACUUUACCAUAUAUUUGCAGAAUAAAAAGAAUUAAGAGAGAAAUCAUGAGUUUUGUAACAAAUGAAAUCGUAAAAAAAAAAAAAGAAAAGAAUAGGAAGAUACCAACAACAUGAAUGUCAUAAAUAUAACAACAGAACUGCAUAAAUUAAAGUAGUAGCAAAAUAUUGGAAGAUGGAAUCAAUCUCGCAAAAGAAACUGACAACUCUUUUUUGGUCGGGAGAGAAAGAAGUCUGUAUUUGACACACAGAAACUUAGCAGAAAUCUAACAAAUGGAGUGACCCUUUAUGCUUCAAAAAUCAAAUAUUUUUUAUAACUUGCCCAGCUAUUCAAGAAUAUUAGGUAAAGUUCAAUAUAUUUAUCCAAUAUACUAAUAAGAUACAACCUAUUGUACCAGGCCGAAAUACUUCUUCUGCCUAGCAACUCAGGUGAUAUUAAUAACCUCAUUUGACUAACUUAAUAAAUGUGAAUGAUCACUUUUUUUUCAUAUGAACAAGAAAAAAGCCAAGGAAAAAACCUAUUAAAAGAUCACCCCAACUACUGUAGGGAUUCCACUAUCCUCAAAUAAAGUUGAAAAUAUACUUAUCAAGAUUGGUAUAAGAUAUAUUCAAAAAAAUAUGUAAAUAUGUUAAGUCCUCAACCAUUUCUGUCAGAUUUGUUGUGACAUCACAUCCAACAUUGAAAAUCAACUCCUAAACCACAUAUAGAAUGUUCUGCUCUAAAAAUAUCACUAUGAUCCAUCUACAUCGCUUUAAACACUAUUUAAAACAUAUCAAACGGAAAUAUAUAUAUAUAUUACCACAAAAAUGGAGGAAAAAUUUUGAAAGAUGAAAUACCCACCUAAGUUUUCCUAGGACAAUACCAGCUUCAUUAGACCGUUCAAGCCCAAUAUCUUCAGGCGAAAUAAUUUCAUAAGUACCUUUGUGCUUAAGCAUUCCAUCCUAUAGAACAGAAAGCAAAUAUGGAUUAUAUUUCUUAUUGCUUUUAACUUUUAGUAAGCAUACAUAUUUAGAUUCUUGUAACCAACACAAUUAGUUUGGAAUUAAAAGUGAGUUUGAUGGAGUUGGGUCUUAAUUACACCAUCAAUAAUUGUCAACAAUUUCACUGAGCAAGCCUGAUUUGUAGAAGAAAUCACCAUUGUAGCUAAACGUAUCAAAAGUGUUAUCGACUAAUACUGUAAAUAUUCACUUAAGAGGAGAAAUGAAGAAAACACAAAGAAAACAGAAGGGAAACCAGUAAAACACAUUCAAGCAAACUUAAAAAGCACAUUAGUAAUCCUCGUAAAAAAAAGUUAGCUAGGAGAAAGUGUUACGUUCCUACCACAUCAAUUGGUGGUCCAUCAAAUUAUGGUGAGGGCAGCAUUUGAAAUUGCCAUGUUAGCAUAAAUGGAUACUACUUUCUAAGGAUAACCUUGACUAGAAUAAUAAAAUUGUGGUCCCAUUUAUGCUAUCAUCGCAUUUUUUUAAGACUUGCAGUCAGAAUUAUGCUAGAAAAUACUUGUGUAUUACUAUCUCUUGUCAUCAUUGUUUCACUCACGCAACGAUAACAUGAGAUUAAUGCUCCACAGUCAACAACAUCCUCAUAUUUGCAUAUAUGCAUAUACAUAUACACAAGCAUAACUGGAGAAAAAGCAACACAAGAAAGGAAUUGACAGAUCAAAUAAAAAUGCUAAUAAAGGGCCAAACAAUGGAAAGAUUACAGAAUCUAGCCACCCACCUGCAACUUCAAACACGUAUAGAUAUCAUUACACAUGCAUGACUUAAUAUUAUCAUCUAAAAUUAGCAACUUAAUUUCUAAGCACUCUGGCUGAACAAGGGCUUUGGUAAACAGCAUCAAACUCCAAUCUUGUAAGAAUGGUCCUCAAAGAGUUCUAUAUUUAAUCCUCAGUUUGCCCCACUAAAUUCUGCCCAAACAAUAAAUAGACUACAAGCUCAAACAUGCUCCUCAGCUAACAUUGUUUCCCCAGAGCAAGAGAUAGCUACUAGCGAGCUACACCCUCAAGCAUUUUAAAUAAUAAUAAAAGAAAAGAUGUACAGAUUCCAUUAUUAAUUUCUACCAUGCAUCUAAACUUCAUGCAAACUCUUAAUGGAAGGCAAAAGAGAAUAUAACUUUAGUUUUCUUAAGAUUAAACAACAAAGCUGUAUCCACAGUAGCAAAAUUUACAGAUGGACAAAAUCACAACACAUGUUAGUGCAUUCUAUUAAGUGCAUUAUAUUAAUUUUCAACUACAAUGGUAAAUACAAUUCCAAAAAUUAAUCAAUGAGAUCAGCCAUAAAGAAAGCUUCACCAAUUAACAGAAAACAUUCAGAGGUUCAGUGGUUCACAACAUAUAUGCAAUCAAAUGUUGGAAAAACCAACCUGGUGGAUACCACUUUCAUGAGCAAAAGCAUUCGCUCCGACAAUAGCCUUAUGAGGUUGUAUGUGUAACCCCGUGUAGUCCUCUACCUAAAAAACCAUAUUAAGUCAACAAUAACUCCCAGAGCUAAUUCAAUCAAAAGUAAGGCCAACUAAUUGAAGCAAAGUUCACAAAAGAAUACCAUUUUGCUUGACAUCACAAUGUGUUGAGUAUUGAUUCCAGUAUAAAGACCUCCUAAUACAUGCUCACCACGACAUUUUAUUGCCAUCACAACCUGCAUAAACAAAAGUAGCAGCCCAACGGAAUCAAAACAGUAAAACAAGACAUAGGUAAUCUUACAAUUUACAAAAUCUGUCCAACUAGGGAAAAACCUUCAACAAUUGCAACCAAAAUAAUUUUUCUUAAGUCGCCACAACACAAGAAUAAAGAAAUUGACAGCUAAAAGACUUUUAUUUACAAAAUUUAAAUGCUUAACAUAGGCAGACUGCAAAACUAGAAAGACAAAAGUUAUCAGAUGGAUGCAUAAGCACCCUCAUUGUCAAGACCCCGUUCCCCCUCUCUAUCUCUGCAAACAAAAAAUGAAGUGGAUUAAUGUAAAAUAAUUUUCAUAUCUCAUAUAUAGAAGCACAUGAUCACGCAAUGAGCCCUUGUCAAUUGAAUUUCAGUGCAAUGUGUCUCCAUCUAAAGCAGAUUUGAUUGACAACAGGAGGUCUUAGGUUGUACAGACUCAAGAUCAUGAAUUAUUCACCUUAAAUGUCCAAGAACAUCAUACUGUGCUAAAGAAAACCAGGCUUUUUCCCAUCUACUUCUGCGUAACUGAAAUCCCAAAUUCACAAUCAUUAUAAUAUUGCAUAAAGCAAAAGCUCACCUCCUCCAAUGAAGCAUUUCCAGCUCUCUCUCCAAUGCCAUUGAUUGUUACUUCCACCUGCCUUGCACCUGCACAAGCUCCCUGAAUUCAUGCAGCAAAGAUGUAAAUACUGCCCAAGUAUACCUCACUGUGGAUUAAUUAACAAAGUAAACCAGCACUAUACCGCUAGUGUGUUGGCAGUAGAAAGCCCAAGAUCGUUUUGGCAGUGUGUUGAAAUAAUAACAUUCUCAAUUCCAGGGGUAUUGGCCUUUAUAUCAGCAAUUAAUUGGCCAAACUCGCUAGGCAUAGUUAUGCCGACAGUAUCAGGUAUGUUGAGAGUUGUCGCUCCAGCCUUGAUCACUUCACCCAAAAUCUCAUAUAAAAACUCUCUGUCAGAUCUGGUUGGAUCCAAUGGAACAACAAUAUCAUGUAAGCAAGAGGGAAAAAAAUCUACCCUUUUUCAUUUAUUUAUUUCAAUAGUAGCAUAUAGGAGAUGCAUACACUGAUACUACUGCAAAAUGCCUCUGGCAAUCUUAAACACAACUCGAUUACACAAAGCAGAAAAAGGAAAAAAAAAAACACAAGACAACAUUAAUAGAAGAAUGUCUUAGAAUCUAGAUAGUACAAAUUAUUAACAUAUCAAAAUUUAUAUAAAUAUAAAAUACCAUAAUUACCAGACAAAAUAUACAAGCACAAUACAAAUACAUAAAUGGUCAGUUCUACAAAACAAACUUUUUUUAACGCCCAUUUCUACAAUAACAUGCAUGCUCCCCUAUUGCAGCGAUUUUUAUGACCAAGCACAUAUCUUUCACCAAAAAAAAAAAUGGCUUCAAUUCAAUACAGAAAAGAAAUAUACAUAAAUUAAACAAUAGAUUAUCUUUAUCCGUAUUUAAACUUCUACUGCUUAUUUUGAUUUUAAAAUUUAAUCUUCCUCUUUCUGUUAUUUCAUUUGUCCAAUAAAAAUAUAGAGAACAAUGGAAUAUAAUCUUAUCCUUGAACAACCAUUUCACGAACAUAUCAUAGGAAGAAAAAGAGAGAGAGAGAUAAAAACUAGAACCUGCCGGCGUCUUCGGGGCUAAACUCGACAUCAUUACAACCCAAACUCCUUGCAAACCGAACCAUACUUCUAGCGAUAUCCAAAACCUCCUCUUUACUCUUCCUUAACUUAUACUCCAAAUGGAUGCCACUGGUAGCGAUAAACGUAUGAAUCCUGGGCCGUUUGGCGUACUUAACCGCCUCCCAAGCGGCCUUAAUAUCGUUCUCAUUACACCUAGAGAGUCCACAAACGACAGGCACAUACCCAUUCUCAUCCUCCGCAUUUCCAACCUCUUUAGCAAUGGCCGUAACAGCUUCAAAAUCGUCCUUGGAAGCAGCGGGAAACCCAGCUUCUAUUAUAUCGACGCCAAGCUUGGCUAGCUGACGAGCAAUAUCAAGCUUCUCCUUGGAAGUCAAGGUGGCGCCAGGAGAUUGUUCGCCAUCGCGGAGAGUGGUGUCGAAGAUGCGCACGUAGUUGGGGUCUGGAAUAUGGUUGGGAAUGUAAAGAGGACGGCGGAGGGGAGUGGGGGGAGUAGGGGCUAAAGAAGAAGAAAUGAGAAGAGACUUGGCCUUGGGUAAUGAUUUGGAAGGAAAAGAAGGGAAAUGGGGUGGGUUGGAAGAAGGGAAGUGGAGGGAAGUGGGAGAAGGAAGGAAAAGGGAGGAUUUGGGAGAUGGAAAAUGAAAGGGAGAGAACUUGGAGGAAAUUAAGAUGGAGGAAGCCAUGGAAGGAGAGAAGGUACAGAGAAUUACAGAGGAAGAGGAAGAGUUUGGGUUUAUAUGGACAGUGUGUUGGUUGUGAAUUUGUCUUUCCUCAGUUUGGUUGGGAGGGAAAUGAGAGUGGAGGCGCCGUCAGCACCGAGGGUGAUAAGAGAUAGAGCAGAAUUUUUCUUUUGAACAAGAUAGAGAGAGUCUUAAAAAGGAUCAAAAAUUUGUUAAGCCUGGGACCCACUCUUUCCAUAACAAGCCAAUUCCAAAUUCAAGGUUUUUCUCUUUAUUAAGUGAAUAAUUUAAUCAAUUAUAAAGGUUCAUUAUGACUGGGUUUUUAAGGUGAUGAAUACAGAUGUCUUUUGCCCGCCAGCCGCCUCUAUCUUUAUUAUUUUAUUAAAAUUUAAAAUUUAUUGUUUUUUUAUUAUUUUUUAAAUACUAAAUCUUCAUUUUAAACUUUUUUAAUAAUAUAUUCAUUCAUUUAAUAAUAAUAUAAUAAUAACCCUUCCAAAUUAUCAUUUCAAUUUCAAGUCAUUUAUUAAGAAAAAAUAACGGUGUUAGUGUCUCGUAAAAUUUCUUUUUAUUGACGUGCCUAAAACUACGUAGUUUUAGAGAUUAAAAUUUUUACACCUAAUACAUUAGAUGAAAUUAAAAAAUAAAAACCUUCAAGUUCAAUUAAAAAUAUUAAAAAAAUCAACUUAAAUUAUAAUCUAACCACAAUUUCCCCCAGUAGUUCUUGGCCUUCAUCGGAGUUUUGAUUCUCAAUUUUUAUCGCUUCAAACUAUCGUAUAAACUACACUUUUUAAGUGAUUUUUAGUUGGUAUAAUAAUAAUUUUAAUCCUCAAUUUUUAUACUUUAAAUCAAUUGACUUAAUCAUAUAUAAGAGGUUUGAGGGCGUAAAAAACCCUCAAAAUUUUUGUACAAAAACAAUUAAGCUCCUCCUUUUUUUUUUAUACUCAAUUGAGCACUUAAACUUUCAAAAUGCAUUAAAAAGACUCUCAAACUUCUUCAAAAAAAAAAGUAAUUAAGCCCAUGCUUUUUUUUACUCAAUUGGAUAAUUGAACUUUCAAAAUGCAUCAAAAAUACCCUUAAAUUUUUUCAAAAAAUAAUUAAGCCCCUGCUCUUAUUAAAAAUUAGAGAAAAAAUAACAAAUAAUAAAUUUUAGAAAAAUUAUUAAAUUUUAAUAAAAUUUUUAAAAUUUAUUAAAAAUUAGAUUUUUUUUAUAAAAAUCGUAAAAAAUAAAAAAUUGUAAAAUUUUAUAAAAAUCAUAAAAAAAUAAACAACCCCUAGUUUUUUCAAUUAAAGUCAUCACGUGUCACAACACAUCAUAACGUAUGGUGAAAAAUAAUAAAAAAAAUACAAAUCAAUAAAAUUUAUAAAAAAAUUAUAAAAUGUUUCUUUUGGUAUGAUAAUUUUUAUAAAAAAAAUUUACAAAGAAUAUAUUUCUUUACAUUUUGUAUAUUUUUCUUACAACUUUAUAAAAUUUUAUAAUUUUUUUACAUUUCUAUAUGUAGUAAGCCAAAUUCGCCCGGCCCAUUAGAAUCAAACCAAAUAGUAAAAAGCCCAAUAAUUAAAUAAAUGUCCAUUCAGUUAAUGUCCUAUUACAGACCCAAUAACUAAACCAUGACCCAAGAUCCAAUUUGAACUUAACCCAAAUUUACAUGGCCCAAUAGGCCCAGAACAUUAAACCAAGACAAACCCUAAAUCACCCCCUGUCUCCCUUGCGCCGCAACCCUAAUCACCAGCAACCCCCAGCGUCGUACACUCCUCCUGGCGCCACGCCCACACCCCGUACGCCAGCACACGCCCUCGUACACACACCACGCACUUGUACCUGCAAAGAAAUGGACAAAACGACAACAGCAACAAUGGCCAAUACGAAAAAGAACAAAAUUGUAUUUUUUAUUUCUUUUUUGAACAUUCGGCUAUAAAGCCGAUGAUUUUAUAUUGUAGGGGGUUCCUUUUUUACGCGCAUUUACGCAUACAGAAGCAAUAGAGAACAAAAACAGAGCAAGGUGAUUUUCUGCUUUGAACCUCUGAAAUCAUUACGUUUUUUUUAUCUACUCCCUUCGAUUUUCUUCCCUUUUGUUGUAUUUAAAUCAAAAGAAAAAUAAAAUAAGAGACUCACCUCGUUACUAGGCCAUCGGUACCCUUCCGCUUCGUCGAAAUCGGAGUUAGAAGGGGAAUCUGAGGCUAAAAUAGACCGUGCUCCGAAGUCCCGAGCGCUGGACGCCGCACCUUGCGGCGGACUGGUGUUUUCGAGGGAGAGAUUUGAAGUGCGGCUAAUAAAAGGGGUUAGGGUUCGGAGCAUUGAAAGUCUGAUAAAAUGGGGGUUUUAUAUGCGCGUGGGAACGACGUCGUUGAAGGCUUUGUCCACACGGCCUCAAAAUGGCGUCGCAUAAGCCUAUUUGACCCGACCUAAUCCUUUGACCCUGGGAUCCGCGCAUUUCCGCGGUGAGGGGGUAUUUUCAGCAUAGGUCCUUCCUCUUUUGUGCGACAUUUCAAUCAGCCAUUUUGUAUUAUUUUCGUUCUUUCUAAAUUCGCCCCAUAAAUUCAUACAUAAGUGCGAUUUAAUCCGCGCCUAAACACUGCGUUUUGGGAAUUGGAUAAUUUCCAGUCUAGGUCCUUACAUAGUUGCGCGCUCCGCACUUUGGUAAUUCUUUUUGAUUAUUUUAUUUAUAAAUUAGCCCAUUUAUUUUGAUUGAAUUUUUCAUUAGAUCUCAUUGAUUUGUACAGUUCAUUACCCUUGUAAAUUCACUUUAAUCUCUUUUAUAUACAUGUGCAUGCAUACUUUUUAAACUUUCAUGAUGAUUUCAUUACUUUAUUAUCAUAUUAUUUUACAAUAUUUUUAUAUAAAUACUUCAUUUG
rnacentral:lncRNA from 1 species